CGAGGAAGGUGCUCUACCGAGGUAGAUGUGUUCGCGGGCUUUACCCAUUGAUUCCGGAGUUUAGAAGAAUAAAUAAGCAAGCUUAUGGUGUCACCAAAAUCUCCUCGACAAGGUGGCAUGAUAGACUAGGGCAUGCAUCUUUUUCUUUAGUUGAACGAUUGCUUAGGAAGAAUAAGCUCCCAUAUGUUGGAGAGCAUAAUGUUGAAACAAUUUGUGAUUCUUGUCAAAAGGCUAAAAGCCAUCAAUUACCUUAUCCAAUUUCUACGAGUAUUUCUACCAAACCGUUGCAACUUAUUUUUUCUGAUGUUUGGGGUCCUGCUCCAAGUUUUGUUGGUAGGCAUACUUACUAUGUUAGCUUCAUUGAUGACUAUAGCAAGUAUUCUUGGAUCUAUUUACUCAAAAAAAGAUCCGAGGUCUUUCAAGUGUUUCACAACUUCCAAGCUCUCGUUGAACGAAAGUUUAAUAGCAAAAUCAUUGCCAUUCAAUCCGAUUGGGGAGGGGAAUAUGAAAAAUUAAACUCGUCCUUCCAAACUCUUGGCAUCUCUCACCAAGUUUCUUGUCCUCAUGCUCAUCAGCAGAAUGGAUCUGCCGAAAGAAAACAUAGGCACAUUGUUGAGGUUGGUCUAGCUCUCUUGGCUGGCGCAUCCAUGCCCCUCAAAUUUUGGGAUGAGGCUUUUCUUACCGUUGUUCAUAUCAUCAACAUGCUUCCUAGUCUUGUCAUCAAUCAUGAAACACCGAUAGAAAGGCUUCUUCGCAUCAAACCCGAUUAUACAUCACUUCGUGUUUUUGGGUGCGCAUGUUGGCCAAACCUUCGACCCUACAACAAUCGCAAACUUAUGUUUCGCUCGGAACAGUGUGUCUUCUUGGGCUAUAGCCCUCAACAUAAAGGAGUUAAGUGCCUUGAUGUCUCCACUGGACGAGUCUAUAUCUCUAGAGAUGUCGUGUUUGACGAGACAAAAUUUCCCUUUGCUGAUCUACAUCCAAACACCGGUGCUCUUCUUCGCCAAGAAAUUCUCAUUUUGCCAUCACAUCUAGUAGGUGCCUCUGGGGAAGAUAACUGUAAUGAUCACAUGCCAACUAAUCCUCAUAACAGUUUGCUUGAGCUAUGUGAUGAUGCAGGACAAAACAGUGAAGCCAAUGGUGCUCACGGUGAUGAAAAUGGUGAAGAAACGGCUCCAAACGAGCCAUAUUUCAUGUGCAGGCCCUCGGGAGACAUAUCUCCUUCGGGAUCCGGGCCGCACCAGUCCUGCAGGCAAUCUCCUUCGGGAUUGACGCCCUCUGCACCUGCGCCUGACAACGACACGUCCGGCAGCGCCCGGGUCGCCCGCCCUGACUCGGCGGUGCGCCACGCCUCCGACCAAUCCGCGGGCGCUGAUGGCCCGCGCCAAUCUCCGGGCCCCACGCGGCAGCUGACGAGCCGCUUCCCCGAUCCGCCCACGUGCUACGCGCGGCGCCCGCGUCGGCCGUCCGGCUCGGGGCCCCAUGUGGUGGACCACCCGACAGGCGCUGGAUCUCGCAUGGAUCCUGAUGACGCUCCUGGUGGGAGCGAAUCUCCUGCUGCGGGCGGAUCCUCUGUGGCGGAUGGCGCCCCUUCAUCACCCGCUGAAGCCGCAGAAAAUCCUGCCUCUUCGUCAGAUCCCAGAAUAUCUGCCUCGGGAUCACCGGGGGAUACUGAUGUGGAUUUUUCUGCUGCAGACCCCGGAUCUUCUGUGCAGCAAACUGCUGCUGCUUCACCAUCCAUGCCACGCACACGUCUACAAAAAGGGGUAUUGCAACCUGUCAAUUAUAAAAAGGUACUUAAGUUUGGCUUAGCUUGCUCUACAGGUGAACCACAAACGCUUGAUGAGGCAUUAGGUGACACAAAGUGGAAGCAAGCUAUGGAAGAAGAGUACAGAGCACUCCAGAAAAACAAGACAUGGCAUCUAGUUCCUUCACGGCAAGGUCAAAAUCUCAUUGAUUGCAAGUGGGUAUUCAGAAUAAAAAGGAAGUCUGAUGGAACUAUUGAUCGAUAUAAGGCUAGACUUGUUGCCAAAGGAUUUAAGCAACGGUAUGGCAUAGACUAUGAGGACACCUUUAGUCCCGUUGUUAAAGCUGCCACCAUUCGUCUUGUUUUGUCUAUUGCUGUUUCCAGGGGAUGGAGUCUUAGACAGCUAGAUGUUCAGAACGCGUUCCUUCAUGGUGUUCUGGAAGAGGAAGUGUAUAUGAAGCAACCUCCUGGGUUUGAGAACAAAAACACACCUUUCCAUGUCUACAAGUUGGAUAAAGCUUUGUAUGGCCUUAAACAAACUCCUAGGGCAUGGUACUCCCAUCUCAGUCAAAAAUUACAAGCACUUGGUUUUGUUCCUUCCAAGUCUGACACAUCACUGUUCAUUUACAAUAAGUGCAACACAUCUAUCUUUGUGCUCAUUUAUGUUGACGAUAUUAUUGUUACAAGCUCAUCAAAUGAAGCAGUGACAGGACUGUUGAAAGAUCUUAGUGCUGAAUUUGCACUGAAGAAUCUAGGAGACUUGCAUUUUUUCCUAGGUAUUGAGGUAAGGAAACAAGGAAGUGAACUUCACCUAUCUCAGGAAAAAUAUGCUACUGAUCUUGUAAGAAGAGCUGGGCUACAGGGAUGCAAGCCAUCACCAACACCAAUGUCAAGUUCUGAAAAAAAUUCUCUUACAGAGGGAGAACUCCUGAAUCAGGAAGAUAGUACCAAGUACAGAAGCUUAGUUGGUGCACUCCAGUACUUGACUCUUACAAGACCAGAUAUUUCUUUUGCUGUGGACAAAGUUUGUCAGUUUCUUCAUGCUCCCACUACAGUUCAUUGGACUGCUGCAAAACGGAUAGUAAGAUAUGUCAAAGACACUGUUAAUGUUGGUCUUACGUUCUCCAAGUCUACUUCAACUCUUGUCAGUGCAUUCUCUGAUUCUGACUGGGCAGGAGAUAUUGAUGAUAGGCGCUCUACUGGUGGUUUUGCAGUAUUCUUUGGACCUAACCUUAUAUCUUGGUGUGCAAAGAAACAGGCUACAGUCUCAAGAUCAAGUACAGAAGCAGAAUACAAGGCUUUGGCUAAUGCAACAGCAGAAAUUACCUGGGUUCAGUCCAUGCUCAGAGAACUUGGAAUAAAACAUACUCAAGCUCCAUGUCUUUGGUGUGACAAUCUUGGUGCCACUUAUUUGUCUGCAAAUCAUGUGUUUCAUGCAAGAACAAAACAUAUUGAGAUUGACUUCCACUUUGUUCGAGAAAGGGUUGCUAGCAGGAAGCUUGAGAUCCGGUUUGUACAUUCCAGAGAUCAAGUUGCAGAUGGCUUCACCAAGGCAUUGCCUACAAGGAAUUUUGAAUUAUUCAAACGUAAUCUCAACUUAACAAAGUUGUGAUUAUGGGAGGGUGUUAAACAUAUAAGGUUCAGGUUCAGCGCAUAGUGCAACAUUGUAACGUGGUAGAUCUCUUGGAGAUAUUCUGGUAGUUUGUUGGCCUAGGUAACUAGCUUAACCGUGGCUAACUCUAUCUCUCUCUUUCUUCUUCUCCAAGAUGUACUCUAUCUCCUGUAUGCGCUACAGGGAUCUGCGCCCCUGCCUAUAAACAUGAACCACGUCCCCUCGUACAGAGGUAAGACGUUUAUCGCAUCUUCACAGACUCAUGAAGAUGAUGGCUAGCCUGCACGAACAUUUGUGGCUUCUGCAUAGAUGAUUCAGAUAGUCUACAAGAAAGGUAAAUAAUUAUAGGGGAUAGAUGUACGUUGCUCCCACAAUAUCCAGUUAUUGUCAGCAAACUUGCUUGUGGGCCAUGCCGACGAUGACAGGUGUAUGAAAAUGCAGCUCACCGACGGCGAUUGGAGCACCAACUUGGGUGACCCAGCUGUUUGACGCCGCCGGCUCGACCUACUUCGCUAGCAGCAUCGAGGAGGACGUGGAGCUCGUAGCCUCUUGAGCCCUCCGCGGGGCUCGUCUCGUCAGGCCGCCAUGGUUGCAGUAUAAAAAUCCUUACUGCCAUAUACAUGUCCCUUUUUUCCUCCCCGUCGCUUCCGCGGAUGAAAACCACAACAAACUCCUGCAAACACGCGAACAAUCGGCCAUGGCUUCCGCCCUCCGAGCCCCGCGAAGUCAUGUACAAUCUUACCGGCUGGCAUCAUCUACAAUCUUACCGGCUGGGAUCAUAUAGUUAUCAGAGUGUCACUUUUUGAUUUGGUACUGUCAUGUUUUUCAGCAGCCAUUAUAUAAUUAGCUGCUCAUCUUCCCACGUGCUGUUAUAGCCCUCCACAUAUCUGAAGGCAAAGAUGGUCCAUGAGUGUCCAUGUGAUGAAGAUCUUCAUGGCUAUUUCAAAAUAGACCUGAUGUUAGGUGAAAAUAUUCAUCGAUGGUUCAAUGAAGAUGCAUCAAAUUUCAAAAUAGAAUGCUAAUAAAUUACACCCUAGAGCAAUAUGAGAGUAUUUAAAUUUGGAUGGACCUAAACCUAUCCAGCACAGUACACAAGCUCUUUUAAAAUAUCGACAUUUAUCCGGUUUGCAUUUUUUUGUACUGGAGUUAAACCUAUCCAGCAUGUUCGUGAACCUAAAGUCGGCUUCAGUAUAUAUCAAUUGGAAGUCGGCUUAUGAGGCUUCAGUAUAUAUCAAUUGGAAGCCGGUUUCUGUGGCUCUGCCUGUAUGUUUACAUUUUGCAAACGCAGUUUAUGCCUGAUAUUUGUGUCUCUUUAUUUAUGCAGAACUAUUCUAGAGCUCAAGGCAUCAGGUACACUUUAGAUACAAACUCUCGCGCUCAACGGAGUUUCCAUGUAGUGUUAAAUUCCGGUGAACUAUAUCUCACCCCAUGCAUGCUGCCUACUCCUUUGUUGCAAACACAAAGCUGCAUGAGACCAGAUCGAUUAGGUAUACUUUGUUACUGACUGAUUGGUUCAUGGAUUAAGCAUGGACUGUAGGAAAUUAGGAGUUGUACAAGGAGGAAAGGAGAAGAGAAGAGAAGAGAAGAAAGAGGACUUAUUUCAUUGGAUUCGCGGCUGUUUGAUUCCUGUUUGCUGCAAGGAUAGAUCUCCGUUGACCACAUAUUCAGUAGUAGAUCAAAAGCUUAUUUUAAAUUCUAGGAAUAAUUGGGUUCAUAAUUUGGUUGUGGCACCCACAUGAAAGCUGUAGAGUCCAUCGAUAUCUUUCCAAGGAUACUAAGUUUCUGCAAUUCAGAAUAAUGAUUGUCAAGAUAUCACCAAAACAUAUUUCUAUGUUCGAGGAUUUUUAAUACUAGAAGAUUUUCUGUUUUACAAGAAUUACUCUACUUACAGGAAGAACCAGUUUUUGGCCGCCACAUGAACUUACAAAUGAUCUCCUUCUGAUAUUCAUACUAUUCUCAUUUGCUUGAUUUUGUGAAGUGCAUUAAGAUUUAUAGUAUAGACCAGAUAUGUUCAGAAUGGUUUCAAUGUUAAGUGAAAGAUAGGAACACAUGAUUUCAGUAUCUUGAUGAGGGCCAGAUUUAACUUGCUGAUGAAUAACAGAAGUUAUAUUGCUGGGACAUGUUUUUGGCCUCACAUUACUUAACUCUGCAGCUGGUUUGUAGAGCUGCAUCUUCUCUUAUUCUUUUUGGUUCUUCGGAUGAGCGACGCUGCCUGUGGGUCGUGGACAAAGCGGCUGCUACUUCCAGGUUUGAUUUUUUGCUGAUCAGUUCCUGGUGAUGGGAUUAUGGUUUUUUGUGUGACUUCUCCUGAAGAGAUUUUUGUUUUUGGUUUUGGUUUUGAUGGUGAAUUUAGGAUAACAGGGACAAUGAUGUUGCCAUACCGGCAGGUGCUGGACAUGAUUCUCAAAGAAGAUACGGAUGUGCAUGCUUCACAUCUUCUACACGCUUAUGCAAAGUGGGAUUUUAUUCAUAUUUUGAUGAGCUUAAUUUCUUAUGCUACUGAUUGCUUCUGCCUGAAGGAUACAUAUGGUAUGUUUUGUGAGCGGUGGGUAUGGAUGAGGUGAGAGCGUCUGUUAGUGAGUCAUUUUUGUUGGAUACUUUAAUCUGUUAGGGUUGAUAUAUAUUUUGAUUGGCGUGGUUGCCUCAAAGUAAUGCCCUGCUACUCCUUGGGGGACGUGAGCGAAGAUUUAUGCCUUAAGCAUAGGAAUGAGGGAGUAGGUUCCAAUAGAAUAGGCGAUGAUGCUAGGAGAGGCACAUCGAGGAACAAGUACAUGGUGCUACUCGAUGGUCAGCCACAUUCUGACUAUUAUUUUGGCAUGCCAAAGAGAUAGCACAUGAUGUUCUACUGCUGGGGAAUUGAAGUAUAGUGCUUAACAAUAUACUGGCAUGUAUUUUUUUUUAAGUAUAUAGUGGUUUCCUUUAGUUGAAAUACAGAAAAAAUUUCACCCCCAAUGAUUCAACAAGAGUUGUUCAUUAAAAGCGUGUGGUUUCUUUCUUCAUCAAGAAUUGAAAUAAUAUGUACUAUUAGAACUCCAUGGAGAGCAAUAAUAUAAUUGUCACAUGGGGUGAUCUUUAUUGGCUAAUUGUAUAGCUUAUGAUCUUAUGGAGUUUAGGUUUGUAAAUCCACGUAUUUUUUAGAUGAAGAAACAAAGAAGGAAAUGACUAUAUCAAGGAUCACAUAUGGUUAAAUGUAGAGACAACGAACACGGUGGCAUAUUACUUGCAACAUGGUGAAACUUUUAGGAUAGAAGGGUAAACGAAUUGCUCGGUCGCUUCAAGAGUUAAUAAUGGACAUGGUGGCACAUGUAUACUUCGCGGUAAUGCAUGAUAUUCGACUGUAUGUUACAACAUGGCAAUGACUCAGGAUAUAUCGGAUCUGCCUUGAUGGCGGUGGCGGAUCAGCACGAACACAAGGGGUGGGGAUCAGGGCGGAGAGUGGGUGAUUGGCGGGGGACUCCUCCUUGGUGGUCUGUGGGGAUAUACAAUGUGAAGGUGGGAGGGCGCCAUGGCGAGGUGAGGUGGGCGUCAUCUGGUUUUAAAGAAGAGGGCUCCAGCGAGAAAUGUCCGGCUACGGUGGGAAACCGAGCGGGAAGGGGUGGGUUCAACAGAAAAAGGGAAUGGUGCGUCGUGGGUUGAGUUUUUGUGUUAGGACCGUGUGUUGAAGAUAAAAUGACGGAUAGUCCGGAGAAGCAUAUUUCUCCUCCGCAUAUGGUAUGGAUUUGAAGAAGUUCAGAUUGUCCAGAUGGUUAAAUUUUGGGGUGCAUUCUGGGUGCCCGUUUGAUGUUCUAACACGCCCAAAUAUAUGAGGAAGAAAUGAACUCCGACCUUCGAUCUGUUUGAUUCAUUUAUAUAUAUGCCUUGUAGCCCGUAGCAAUGCACGUGUAUUGUACUAGUCUCGAUAGUGGUUGGGUUGGUCGGAUUGGUGGCGAGGACCCAACUAAAUCUUUUUUUCCUCCGCGUCUGCCUCUAUCUUUGGGUUGAGCCUGCCUCUUCAUUUGGUGGCUGCACGGCAAUCUUCGGGACACGGUUGCUUCGACCGCUCUAUCCUACGACGGCGUAACCAUGUGCUCCCCUCCUGUCAUGAGUCGAUGGGGGAGUCGACCGCGCCAAGACGGGCAGGGUUGUCGACGCAGGCGAGGGCGAGGGCGGGGUCGAGGGGCUCCAUGACCUCCUCAACGCGGCUGACGCCGGCGUCGAUGCGCGAGCAGCGCUUGAGCGUGAGGACGGCGCGGGAGGGGCGCGGCGUCGGUGCUGUAGAGGCGGACCCUCUGGGCAGCGGUGGUGGCGGCGAGGGGCCGCGCGGGGGCGUCGGUGCGGAGCAGGCGGGGCGCGAGGAAGGAGGAGAGGCGCCGGUGUGCGGCUGCGUCGGGGAGCCGGAGCUUGAUCUCGACCUCCAUGGGGUUGGGGUUGCGGCUAGGGCUGGGGGGCGGGGGCUGGAAGGGGCGGGCGGCGGCGUCUACUCUGGGAGUUUUAGGGAUCGAGAGGAGCGGAUGAAAAAACCUAUGAAAAAACCCAGUGCACUAGUAGGAAAUGGGGCUUUUACCCCGGUUUGUAAGGGCCUUUUGUCCCGGUUUUCGAACCGGGACUAAAGGGUCGUUACUAAAUCCCUAACCCUUUAGUCCCGGUUCUUACACGAACCGGGACAGAAGGUCCUCCACGUGGCCGCUACUGCCAGCCCAGGCAGGGGGGCCUUUGGUCCCAGUUGGUGCCAACAACCGGGACUAAUAGGCAGUGCCUUUUGUCCCGGUUGGUGUCACCAACCGGGACCAAUAGGCAUCCACGCGUCAGCAUUUCAGGGGCUGGGGUUUUUGUUUUUUUUGAAGGGGGGGGGUUUGGGGGUUAAUUUAGGUGUUUCAUAUAUUGUGUUAGCUAGCUAAUUAAUAGAGAGAAGUGUCCUCUCUUAUCUCCGUGCUUGGUCGACGCUACGUACUAUAUACGUAUGGAGAGGUCUAGACACGCUAGCUAGUAAGCAAAUGAAGGAAACAGAAGAUCGUCAUGAACAUAUGCAUGCAGAGAGAAGUGAUAUCGACCACCUCUCCUUCUCCGAGAGAUUGGUCGAACAACAAGUUCUCGUAUAUCUAUCUGACACUAUCAGCUACAUAUAUACAAUAAUUAUCUCUUACAAUAUAAUCUCCUAAUUAAAUUGUAAGAACACAGGGUCCACAUAGUAUUCUCCGUUUUCAGCGAUCACGUGGUCAAGGAAGAAUGCCGCCAAUUCCUCUUGAAUUGCUCGCAUACGAUCUUCUGCUAGGAGUUCAUCCCGCAUCCGAAACAUCUAAUUUGAAGAAGGGGGUCAAUACAUAUAUAUAUAUAUAUAUAUAUAUAUAUAUGAAUAAAUAAAACUCGACACAAAUGAUGGUAAUAAAAUAAAAUUGUGAAUAUUAUUGCUUACGCACUUCAUAUUGUUCGUCAGAGUAGCCCCGUUCACAGGUCCUGUGGCGGAUAGACUCGCAAACAUAGUAUCCACAGAAAUCAUUCCCUUGUUCCUGCCACAACCACUUUACAAGAAAUAGAGGUCAAUCUAACUGAUAAGCAAGCAUGCUAAAUGGUAUUGAUGAAACUAGCGCUUGAAUCACUAGGAGAUGUGCGGAACAUGCUACUAUAGUACUUACUUUCGGGUGUCUAAAUUGCAGCUUCUUCGGCAGUCCCGGAGCUUUUGUGGUGAAUUUUCUCCAAACCCUGCCAGACAAAGAAAACAAUUACUUGAUAUCAGGAAAUGAACAAAGUUGCUGAUAUGGUGGAUAAUGAUCGAUUUAACUUACUUCUCGAGCAUUUGAGUCAUGUCCGCAUAUUCCUGGGGAUCUUUUUGUCUCGAGUCUAAGACGGUUACUACUCCCUGCUCAAGCUUAAUCUCUAGGAGAAUAUAGUGGAAGCUGCGCAUGCAUGCAUAAGUCAUCAAUUACAUUACCAUAACCUGGACUAAUAAGGGAAACCGAAUAUGCACAAGACAGUAACACUCACUUGAAGUUAUAAGGAAAGAGUAUUAUAUCUUUGUUUUGAUUUAAUACCAACGAUCGUAGCAAGUUGGCCUCGGCUUCUUUGGCAUGUUUUUCAACCAUAUAUGCAUCUAUGAGAUUUGUGUUAAUGAACCCAAUAUCACCGAUUUGUCUUUUCUUCAAUUCGGCGAUCUUCAAUCUGCAUAAUAUAGUGAGGAUAAUUAUAAACACAUGCAAUGAAAGAGCUGACCUAUAUAGAGAGACUUAAUGACAGAAGUAGUACUACUUAUAGACAGUAGCAAGUGAUCGUUGAUUUAUCAAGGGCCUUUUGAUUGAAAAACUGGAAGAACUCCUCAAAUGGAACAUUCAGCAGUUCAAUUCCAACGAGGUCAUGCUCCGGUUUAACUCUCAGCGUCAAAGUAUUCAUCCCAUCAGACUCUCUGCAGGUUUUCAUGUACCAAUCAUGUAAUCUUCGCAUCAUCAUUGUUAGAGAUCUUUCAUCUUUGACGAGAGGCUUCCCGUAAUGGUAUUUGUGUUCGUCCACCUCCAUGAUUUCAUAAUGUACAUCGUCGGGCAGGUAAUCUCCAAGAUUGCUAUAACCGGGCACCAUCCUCGGAUCAUUAGCGACGAUGUCACUAGACUCCUUGAGCGGGGGGCACGAUUGGUUCGCUUGUUCGCCGAGCUGGGCAAUUUUUUUCCCAGCUCGUCGUUCUUUUAACCUUUUAUCACUGACAGUACUUUCCGACCGCUCCGCUUCGGCAUAUGUCUUUGCAAGAAUGCGCUCAUAGUUGCCUCUCGGCGGAGACUUUGGUGGUUUUGUCAGGGCAGCCAGAGUGCGCUUUGCUGUCACCGGAUCUACCUUCUCCUCCGGAGGUGGAUGUUUCUUUACUUUCACCCCUUCAAAGAAGUUCUUCACUUCGGCUUGCACGAUCUUCCUGGUUUCCUCCUCGGUCCUCUCGUAUGGUAACUUCUCUGGAGUCUUCAGAGAAGGACCGAAUCUGUAUUGCCUCCCGCGUCUGGCAGCUGUAUUGCUAGACGCCGGCAGAGCAGACGGAGCGGCUGCGGCUGUCUUCUUUCCUUGCUUACAAGGCAGAGGAGAAGGACUAUGACGCGCCAGAGCAGCCGGAGCGGCGGUGGGUCUCUUCCGCCCUUGCUGACGAGGCGGAGAAGGAGGAGGCUGGCUGCUCUGGCACGCCGGCGCAGGCGGAGAAGGAGGCAGAGUGUCGCCACGCGCCGGAGAAGGAGGCUGAUGAGUGCCCUGAUCACUCGCCGGAGGAGGAGGCGGAGGAGGAGGCGGAGUGCCGCCACGCGCCGGAGAAGGAGGCUGAGUGCCCUGAUCACUCACCGGAGGAGGAGGCGGCGGCAGAGUGCCCUUACUCGCCGGAGGCGUCCAGUUCGGAAGGUUAAUGAGCUCCUUCCGCCAUAGGCACGGAGUCUUCAGAGCUAAACCCAGCCGAGUCUCCCCUUCACCGGUAGGGUGGUCAAGCUAGAGGUCCUCAAAUCCCUCCGUUAUUUCAUCCACCAUCACCCUAGCAUAUCCUUCUGGAAUCAGCCGGCAGUGGUAGGUUGCGCCGGGUUCAGGAGGUAAAACAGAGCCAACAGCCACCUUGACUUUGAAGUUCUGCCAUUGCUCCAUAAGGUGGCAAUGUAGAGACUCCGUGAUAGCAUCCACGGGGUAGAUAGCAGGAGCUGUCAAGACAUGCUCCGGCUGAAGCAGCUCGGUGGAAGCCACGCUGCUUCUCCGCUGAGAUGGCGGGGUAGCUUCGGGGGUAGUUUCGGCAUGUCGAUUGUCGUCUCGUUCCUCUAGCGCUUGAACCCUUUCGUGCAGCUUCUGAAUUUGGGUCUGCUCCAUUUUUUUCCUCCUCUCCUGGCUUUUGUAACCGCCUGCGUCCGGAAAACCAGCCUUCCACGGAACGGAGCCUGGCGUGCCUCGUGUCCGUCCAGGGUGCUCAGGAUUCCCGAGGGCCAUUGUGAGCUCGUCGUUCUCUCUGUCUGGAACGAAUGUCCCUUCCUGCGCUGCAUCGAUAUAUUGCUGAAUCUUCUUGACUGGUAUUCUCAAAAGCUCGUUCGUCCAAACGCACCUCCCUGAUACAGGGUCCAAGGUUCCGCCAGCCUCGAAGAACCAAGUCCGGCAACGGUCUGUCCAGUUCAUUGUCUGUGGUUCGAUCCCUUUUUCAAGCAGAUCAUUCUCAACCUUGGCCCACUUAGGUCGGGCUUUGAAGUAGCCACCUGACCCCGUGCGAUGGUGAAGCUUCUUCUUCGCAGCAUUCUUCUUGUUUGUCGCUGACAUCUUCUUACUCUUUUCCGAUGUCUUGUGGGCCACAAAUGCGGGCCAGUGAUCUCUGAUCUUCUCAUACCGGCCGAUGAAUUCUGGUGUCUCUUCUUUGUCGACAAACAUUUUCAGCUCAUUCUUCCACUUCCUGAAUAGGUCUGCCAUCUUCUUAAGAGCAUGAGACUUGAUUAAUUGCUCUUUACUAGCUUCUCCGGAUCCUCCUCUGGCGGUAGGGUGAAAUUUGCCUUCAGCUCAGUCCAAAGAUCAUCUUUCUGCAUAUCAUUGACAUAAGACACCUCAGGGUCUUCCUUCUUAGGCUUAUACCAUUGCUGGAUGCUGAUCGGGAUCUUGUCCCUAACUAGAACCCCGCACUGAGCAGCAAAUGCAUCCUUUGUCCGGAUGGGUUCAAUCGGUUGGCCGUCGCGCGCGAUUGCUGUGAUCUCAAACCUUUCAUCCGAGCGCAACUUUCUCUUCGGGCCUCGUCUCUUUACCGCAAUUGUGCUCGAUCCGGAGCGCUAGAAAAAAGAAGAAAGACGAGUGUUAAUUAAUAUGUGUACAUACCAAAACAAUGAAUGCAUCAAUUAGCUAGUCAGCACAAGCUUAACUAAUAUAUUUACCUGGCCGGACUCUGUUCGGUCACUGGAGCCGUCACCACGGGCUCCUUCUUGCACCAGCAUUGGGUCACCGGAGCCAUCAUAAUCAUGUCUUUCCUCCUCCACUCUUCGAUCACCGUAGCCUGCUUCUUCACCCUGUUCUUUCAGACCAUCAUUGUCGUUAAGAUACGACAAGAUAUCACCUCCGGCUAAGAUUAUGUCCCCCAACACCUCUUCUGCUUGCUCGUCUCGUCCGUGCUCCAUUGUUUCUGCAAAUAUUACAACAUGGCAAUUAUUACACAAACAUGACAGCAGGUGGAUAUAUUAGUGCAAACGUAGACCUAGCUUAUUCCGGGUUUGGGGUGGCCUCGGCAACGCUUCAAGGGUAGGGGCGCGACGGGAGGGGGUAGGAGACCGACAUCGUUUUUUUCUAGGGUUUGGGUGUCCUUGAGAGUUUUGGUCGAGCAAGAGGGCCGGGGGGUGCUCCCGUGGUAUAUGUUAUCACGGUCGAGAGGGGGUAUAAAUAUCGACCGUCCAUCAUGUCGAAGUUAUCUGAGAGGGAGUUAUAUAUAUCGACAACGACGACAUACAUACAUGGGAAAAUAAUGUUAUCCGGGAGGGGGUAUAUCGACCCCUCCCCACGUGUUGAAGUUAUCAGGAGGGGGUUAUAUCGACAACGACGACAUACGUACAUGGGAAAAUAAUAUUAUCGGGGAGGGGGUAUAUCGACCCCCCCUCGUGUUGAAGUUAUCGGGAGAGGGGUAUAUCGACGACGACAGACCCGAUAAAACAUAAGAAAACGAAGAAGAAAUAAAAAGAGGAGAAGAAGAAAAGGAAUAGAGGAGAAGAUCGAAGAAAANNNNNNNNNNNNNNNNNNNNNNNNNNNNNNNNNNNNNNNNNNNNNNNNNNNNNNNNNNNNNNNNNNNNNNNNNNNNNNNNNNNNNNNNNNNNNNNNNNNNNNNNNNNNNNNNNNNNNNNNNNNNNNNNNNNNNNNNNNNNNNNNNNNNNNNNNNNNNNNNNNNNNNNNNNNNNNNNNNNNNNNNNNNNNNNNNNNNNNNNNNNNNNNNNNNNNNNNNNNNNNNNNNNNNNNNNNNNNNNNNNNNNNNNNNNNNNNNNNNNNNNNNNNNNNNNNNNNNNNNNNNNNNNNNNNNNNNNNNNNNNNNNNNNNNNNNNNNNNNNNNNNNNNNNNNNNNNNNNNNNNNNNNNNNNNNNNNNNNNNNNNNNNNNNNNNNNNNNNNNNNNNNNNNNNNNNNNNNNNNNNNNNNNNNNNNNNNNNNNNNNNNNNNNNNNNNNNNNNNNNNNNNNNNNNNNNNNNNNNNNNNNNNNNNNNNNNNNNNNNNNNNNNNNNNNNNNGCGUCGUCGGGGCAAACUGCAGAUGAACUCUGAAAAAUUUCCUAAGUGUUUGCUUAUAUAGCAAAGCCUUUAGUCCCGGUUCGUGGCACCAACCGGGCCUAAAGGUAGGCAUUAGUCCCGGUUGGUGCCACCAACCGGGACCAAAGCCCUCUUUUCAGCAGCCCAAAGGGCGGGAAGCGGCGGCCUUUGGUCCCGGUUGGUGGAACCAACCGGGACUAAAGGGGGGGCAUUGGUCCCGGUUGGUGCCACGAACCGGUACGAAUGCACCCCUUUAGUCCCGGUUGGUGGCACCAACCGGGACCAAGGCCUCUUGCUGCCCGCGUCGCGGCCAAAAGUUUAGUCCCACCUUGCUAGCCGAGGGGCGCCCGCACCAGUUUAAAAGCCGCGGCGCGGCUGCUGUCUCGAACUCCUCUCUAUAGCAGGAUUCUGGGCCUAACUUUGGCGCGCUGCCCGUUGAGCCUUCUAGCCCUUCUGGUCCUGUAUUUGCAAACCUGAGGGUUGGAAGGCCCAGCGGGCAGCGCCCCAACAAUUUUUUUUGCUGUAUUUAGUUUUUCUGUUUUCUUUUUUUUCUUUAUUUAUUUUGUUUUGUUUCUACUUACGACAAAAAACUUAUUUAUUUUAUUUUGUUUCUAAUUACUUAUUUNNNNNNNNNNNNNNNNNNNNNNNNNNNNNNNNNNNNNNNNNNNNNNNNNNNNNNNNNNNNNNNNNNNNNNNNNNNNNNNNNNNNNNNNNNNNNNNNNNNNNNNNNNNNNNNNNNNNNNNNNNNNNNNNNNNNNNNNNNNNNNNNNNNNNNNNNNNNNNNNNNNNNNNNNNNNNNNNNNNNNNNNNUUGUUUUCUUUUUGCUUUAUUUAUUUUGUUUUGUUUCUACUUACAACAAAAAACUUAUUUAUUUUAUUUUGUUUCUAAUUACUUAUUUAUUUUACUUUAUGAUAAUUCUUUUUGCUAUUAAAGUUUCUAUCAAAAAAGUUCUUUAUGAAAAUUCUUUUUGCUUUUAAUGAUUUUGAACAGAAAAUACUUCGAUAAUUUUAGUUGCAUCAAUUUUAUAUGAUUUUAGUUUCAAUAAUACUAGAGGUUUCUUAUANNNNNNNNNNNNNNNNNNNNNNNNNNNNNNNNNNNNNNNNNNNNNNNNNNNNNNNNNNNNNNNNNNNNNNNNNNNNNNNNNNNNNNNNNNNNNNNNNNNNNNNNNNNNNNNNNNNNNNNNNNNNNNNNNNNNNNNNNNNNNNNNNNNNNNNNNNNNNNNNNNNNNNNNNNNNNNNNNNNNNNNNNNNNNNNNNNNNNNNNNNNNNNNNNNNNNNNNNNGUUUCUAAUUACUUAUUUAUUUUACUUUAUGAUAAUUCUUUUUGCUAUUAAAGUUUCUAUCAAAAAAAGUUCUUUAUGAUAAUUCUUUUUUCUAUUAAAGUUUAUUUUAUUUUGUCGUAACACAAGAAGUCCGGAGUUGUAAUAAGUUAUUAAAAAUGGAAAAGAGGCGCAAUGCUCGUUGAUUAGCUUCAAGCCUUUCGGAAUAGUGUAGACUGCACUGCACAUAGCUCCAUGUAGUCUACCUUAUUCCUCAAGGCUUGAAGCUAAGCUACGUGAAGGUGAGCAUUGCGCCUCUUCUUCAUCGUCUCUGCACUCAGGGCUUAUAAACCGCUCCUAGUGCCUCUCAGCUAGCGAGGUGGGACUAAAAAACUGCUUAGUAAGAAACUCUAGUACCGGUUCGUGCCACGAACCGGUACUAAAGGUGCUCGUGGGGCCACAGCCUCAUUACUACCGGUUCGUGGCAGCAACCAGGACCAAAGGGUGGAAUCGGUCCCGGUUCGUGCCACCAACCGGGACCAAUGGCCUUGCACAGCGGCGUGGUGGUGGGAGUUUAGUCCCACCUCGCUAGCUGAGAGAGAGCCGCACCUUUUUAUAAGGUGCGGUGCGCCUGAGCUGUCGAGCUCCUCUCUAAAGCAGGCUUACGGGCCUAACCUCUCUGUACAUGCCUGUGGGCCUACUGGGCCUUCUGCGGGCCUGAAUCCUGGCCCAUGGAUGGGUUUCUAAUCGUAUUCAGGCCAUGGUGGCCCAGUAGGUGGCAUAAUUUUUAAUUUUUGGCCUGUUAUUUUUCAUGCAUUUAGUAAUUAUUUUGAGCUAUAAGACCCUAAAAUUGAAAAGCAUUUCAAAUGAACUCUAAAAAGGUUGAAAUUUGGCAUGGUAUCAUCAUUUCAUCCACAUAGCAUGUGCAAGAAAAUUGAGAGGGUUACGGCAAAAACUAGAUGCACUUCGUGUACAAAACGGACAAUGGUAUCAUACUCGUCUGUUACAAAGUUGGCAUGGUAUCAUCAUAAUAGUUGCGGGAGAAAGUCUUCACUUUUUCUUCGCUUGUGUCAUUUGCAUCAUUGGGCACAUCGUCUGGUUCCUCUUGAUCUUCAGCAGCUUCCCCCGUUGCAGCAUCACCGUAUUCAGGGGGCACAUAGUUGCCAUCGUCCUCUUCUUCUUCGCCGUCUUCCAUCAUAACCCCUAUUUCUCCGUGCCUCGUCCAAACAUUAUAGUGUGGCAUGAAACCCUUGUAAAGCAGGUGGGUGUGAAGGAUUUUCCGGUCAGAAUAAGACUUCGUAUUCCCACAUAUAGGGCAUGGACAACACAUAAAACCAUUCUGCUUGUUUGCCUCAGCCACUUCGAGAAAAUCAUGCACGACCUUAAUGUACUCGGAGGUGUGUCUGUCACCGUACAUCCAUUGCCGGUUCAUCUGCGUGCAUUAUAUAUAAUUAAGUGUGUCAAAAACCAUUACAGAACAUCAUGAAUAGAUAAUUAAGUGACCAAAUUAAUAGAAGUUCAUCAUCACAUUAAAACCAAAGUACAUACAUAGUUCUCAUCUAACAACAUAUAUAUAGCUCUCCAGAGCAUCUAAUUAAUUAAACCAUACAUUGAAACUAUGUAAAACAUUUCAAUGCGAAAACAAAUGCGAUCAUAAUCGCAACCAAGGUAACAAUUGAUCCAACGGCAUAAUGAUACCAAGCCUCGGUAUGAAUGGCAUAUUUUCUAAUCUUUCUAAUCUUCAAGCGCAUUGCAUCCAUCUUGAUCUUGUGAUCAUCGACGACAUCCGCAACAUGCAACUCCAAUAUCAUCUUCUCCUCCUCAAUUUUUUUUAUUUUUUCCUUCAAGUAAUUGUUUUCUUCUUCAACUAAAUUUAACCUCUCGAUAAUAGGGUCGGUUAGAAUUUCCGGUUCAACCACCUCCUAGAUAAAUAAAAUCUAUGUCACGUUGGUCGGCAUAUUUGUCAUAAACAAUAAAUGAACCAAAUAGUUAUAAAAAGAUAAUAUAUACCACAUCCGACUCAUAGACAGGACGAGGGCCGACGGGGGCGGAUACCAAAACCAUCGCACUAUGUAAUAAGAAGGAAUAAUAAAAGUAAAAAAAUUAGACAAGUAUCUAUCUAAAGUAAGAAUUUUUUUCCUUUCAGAAAGAAGAUAAGAACAAGAGGCUCACCACGGUGGUGCUGGCGACGAGAUCGGCGCGGGCGAUCAACGGCGGUGAAGACGGGGACGGGACGUGACGGACGGCUAAACCUAGACAAAUCUCGGGGAAAAUGGAGCUCGGAGGUCGAGUUUCGAGAGGAGAAAGAUUAACUAGUGUGGCUCAAACAUUUCAUCGAACACCUCAUGUGCAUAGGAGGUGAGCUAGAGCACCCAAAUGCCCUCCCCUCGCCGGCCAGAAAAAAUAGAGCACUGUGGAGUGCUCUGCUGUGGCAACGAGGUAUAUAUAGGGAACUCAUUGGCCCCGGUUCGUGGCACCAACCGGGACUAAAGGCCUUUGGUCCCGGUUUGUGGCACCAAUCGGGACCAAUGCCCCCCUUUAGUCCCGGUUGGUGGCACCAACCGGGACCAAAGGCCUUGUGCUGCCCCGCGUCAAAAGUUUAGUCCCACCUCGCUAGUUGAGAGGGCUCGAGAGUGGUUUAUAAGCGCUGCUGCGCCCACCCUCUCGAGCUCCUUCAACUGCAAGCUUUCGGGCCUAACCGUUCUCUUUGCCUGUGGGGCCUACUGGGCCUUCUGCGGGCCUGAAUCCUGGCCCAUGGAUGGAUUUCAAGUCGUAUUCAGGCCGUGGUGGCCAAGUAGGUGGCAUAAUUUUUUUCUCGGUUUUUUGUUUUCUCUUUUGCUUUAUUUGUUUUGUUUUAUUUCUACUUACAACAAAAAACUUAUUUAUUUUAUUUCCAAUUACUUAUGUAUUUUACUUUAAUUAUUUUAUUUUUAUUUAUUUUACUGCUGCUAUUUUUAUCUAUUUUACUGCUGCUAUUUUUAUUUAAUUUAUUAAGGUUUAUUUAUUUUAGUUAUUAUAGUUUAUUUUAUUUUAUUUUAUUAAGGUUUAUUUAUUUUUAUUUAUUUUAUUAAGGUUUAUUUAUUUUAUUUACUAUAAAAAAUGAACAUAGAUGCGCCUUUAGAGAAAAUUCAACCUAAAUUCAUAAUAAAUUUCUAUGAAAUUCAAAGAAAUUUACUGUGAAUUUAGGUCAAAUUCCCUGUAUAAGGGCAUCUAUUUUCACUUUGAGAGGAGCUCAACAAGGCAGAGAGGGACGGGCUUAUAAACUGGUGUGAGCGCCCUUCGGUUGGCGAGGUGGGACUAAACACUGGCCGCAACUAGGACCAGCCCUUUAGUCCCGGUUUGUGGUAUGAACCGGGACUAAAGGGUGGUGGGCCAGGAGCGUGGCCCAUUGGUCCCGAUUUGUCCCACCAACCGGGACCAAAGGGGCCGGACAAACCGGGACCAAUGCCCCCACGAGGCCCGGCAGGCCCCUGGCCGCACGAACCGGGACCAAUGCUCGCAUUAGUCCCAGUUCGUGACUGAACCGGGACUAAUGUGGAUAUUGCCCUGUGACCAAAGCCCAGUUUUCUACUAGUGGUGGAAGGUGGGACGAAAAACAAACCAUGAUAGGUGGGACGAAAAUAAACCUGGAACGGAGACUACCAAGUACCAACUGAGGCAUUAGGAGUAGAGAUUUCCCGUGUCAUACAUGUCCAGCGAGAAGACCACAACUCCUUCUAUGUCGCGUACUAUUGUGGAGACCCUCUUUUUGGAUUUUUUUUUCAUCCGUUCACCUUCGAAAGAAUUUUUUUUCUUUCUAUUCGAGGUGGUACUAAAAUUUUAUGCGUGUAUCCGCUAGAAAAGAAAAAAGAUUUGUCCAGAGGCCGCGCACGCUCCGGCCCAAUGAAGCCAGCACACUUAUUAUUGCCCACGUAGUUGGGAAGAACUUAUUUGUUGUAUUGAGCGAUAAAUAAUUGAAGCUGCCCAUAGGACGCCUAAAACAGGGUCGGCCCAUUUCCCCUUUUUAGAUGUUCUAUUUCUAUUUUUUUCUGUUCCUUUCUCUUUCUCUUUUAUAUUUCCUCUUCCUUUUUUCCAUCUUUAUUUUUUAGUUUUUCUGUCAAAUAAAAAUUUACAAAAAUAUUCAGAAUUUGCAAAUUUUGUUCAAAUAUUGAAAAUUAGUCAGAGUUCAAAUUUUUUGUUCCUGAUUUGAAAAAUGUCCGAAACUUUUAUAAAAAUUCAUGUUUUGAAAUUUUCUCAUUUUUAAUUUUUUGUGUUUUUAAAAAAUUCUUAGAUAUUUUUUAAUAAAAACUACAUUUUAUAAAGUGUUCCAUAUAUAAAACUAUCCCUGUUUUAGUGACAUGUUCACAAAUCCAAAACAAUAGUUUUGUCUGAGAAAACAUUUUCUAAAAUGGUUUUGAAUGUUCCCCUUUUAAAAAGAUCAGAAAUUCAAAAAUAUUUGUGUGUUUUAUAAAAUUAUCAUGUUUUCAAAAAUAUUGUUUGUGAAUUUCAAAAACUAUUAAUGUUUCUAAAUUUUUUUGUUUUUCCAAAAAUAUUGGACUUUAAAAAAAAUGUCGCAUCUUUUGAAAAUUGUUUGGGAUUUAAAAAAUUGUUCACGUUUCCAAGAAUUUCGCCAAUUCAUAUUUAUGUUGAAUGUUCAAAAAAAAACCAAAAGAUAUUUCUAAUAUUACGCUAUAGUACUCCCCCCGUCCGGAAUUACGUGUCGCGAAAAUGGAUGAAAAUGGAUGUAUCUCGAACUAAAAUACGUCUAGAUACAUCCAUUUCCCCGACAAGUAUUUCUGGACGGAGGGAGUAUAUUAUUAAAUAUUCGCUGGCCAUUGGUUGGCGAUGCAUGGUCGUUCUAUGCUGGUUUACUAUAAAUGAAAGAAAUUGUAGGCACAUGCCAAUAAAAGAGAAUAUGUUGUUUGGCUUUAAUUGGAGCAAAAUGAUGGGCACUUGAGCACUAAAAUAAUCAAAGAGAAUAGACCCUAAAAAAGAAGAGACAUUCAUGCCUGAUCAUGCUAAUGAAAUGGGAUUGAUGCGUUGCAAUUAAUGAUCCACCUGGUUACGUGGUCAUAGGAUAGAGUGGUCAAAGCAACCGUGUCCCGAAGGUUGCCGUGCAGCCACCAAAUGAGGAGGCAGGCACAAUCCAAAGAUAGAGGCAGAUCCGGAGGAAAAAAGGCAUGAGUUGGGUGCUCGCCACCAAUCCGACCAACCCCACCAAUAUCGAGAUUUCCCGUGUCAUACAUGUCCAGCGAGAAGACCACAACUCCUUCUAUGCCGCGUACUAUUGUGGAGACCAUUUUUUUUGGACGACACAUCAAUUAUCUUUCCCGUUGCUUCUUACAAAAAAAAUGUCUUUCCUGUUGCAACGCACGGACAUAUAUGCUAGUAACUAUUAAGCAAUGUAUUUCGGAGCUGAUUAAUAUUUCUUUAUUAUGCAAGUACACUGCAUAAUAUAAGGCCUAAUAAAUUUAUACAUGUGAGAAAAAAAAUCUUGGGUCUUGGCAUUACUUGAUUCUUCACCACCUCUCAGUUUCAUCUAGAAAAGGAUGCCGAGAUUGACCCGGUUAAGUGGAUCAAGAUGGUUGAGAAAGAGAUCUCAUUAGAAUGUAAAAAGAAGAAUCAAAGGAAAGGUCCACGCUUAAACAAACUGGUUACAUGCAUAAAUAGAAAGGUCUGAAUAUGGACAUGUCAAUUCUUACACGGCAGGCAGAUAAAAUCAAGAUCACUAUUGCAACAACAAGAUUACACAGUUACACAAGUUGACAUAUAAUUAUAAGUUAAAUCCAAGUCGUGGCCACCACAUGUCAUAUGCGGUGAGCAAUCUAAAAAAUGUAUAUUGUAACUUAACUUAUGUUCGACGAGGGCGAAAAAUGCAUAUUGUAGCUGAAUCUAAUCAGAUCACGGAGGUGGAACCACACGUCGAGAGGUGAUAACCUUAACUUGUCUUCUCCAGUGAAGCUCACUGCUGCUCCUUUGGGUGGGUGUGUACGACAGGGAUCAGGACCAGACGCCCUCCACCGCAGGCCCCGACAAUUCUCGAUCGAGAGCGACUGUACUACAGUUGUAGAAGCAAUCAAUCACUCCCGUAGCACUCUAGCAGAGUAGAGCGGACAUCAGGGGAGGGAGGCCUAUUUAUUAUCCAAGAAACUCACAAGCAUAUCCUUUCCCAGGGCUGAAAACUACAGAGUGCAGACAGGUUUUCAACAACACUCUUGAGGAAGGAUGAUUUGACAUGCCAGCAACAUCUCCACGGUAACCAGCGCUGAUGCAAGCUUUCCAUCAGUAUGGUAUUGAAACAGAUACCUGGCAGAUGCUGAGGGAGAUGACUUAAUUCACAAUACAUAUGUCUGAAUCUGAACAAGAUAGAAAUCAAAGUUCAGCUAAGCCGAUCGACCUGGUAGUACAUUAUUUGAAGCAAACAGAAUCCAUGCCGUUUCUAUGUGGUUUCCGCCCUGCUUACUCCUGCAUGGCUUGCUGGCGCUCCCUGGCUUGUCGAGUGGCCUUCCUCCGCUCACGGACUAGCCUUGGCAUCUCCUUCCAUGUAUUCGGUUUAAGUGCCAUCACUGCACAUAUCGCAAAUGGCGUCAGAACAAACACGUACAAAUUAAUGUAACAUAAAAAUUUAUACCGGACGGAAGUAAAAUAAUGGAGAACAAACUUGGACAAACAUGCUGGCGUGGUAGAUUUAAUGGAAUGGAUGACUGCAUCUGUUUGUUAAAUGUGGCAAAGAUAGAAGGACGUGCUGCAAGCAUACCUUCAUAACGGGCAUCUAGUCCUUUGAUGUUAAUGCUGCCCAGUUGCUGCUGCAGGCAUCUAGGGAGCUUCUUUAUAGCAGGGCAGCCUGUAAUUCCAACAAAGUAGAGAGACCUGUAUACUUGCGGCUCAUUCGGCAGGGAUGCCAGGGUACUGCAUCUUUCAAGAUAAAGGUAUUCCAGCGAUGGGGGGUGCUCUCCCGACAGACACUCCAGCGAUGUCAGCCCACUGUUGCCAAUAAUGCGCAGUCUCUUGAGGGGCGCAGGCAGACGAAGAGUCCCACCCAACAUGGCAGCACAGUCCAGUAUUGCUAGAUAUUCGAGAUGGGGAGGAAGUAAAUGCUCUCUUGCAGUUGGUGCUGUUGCUGCUGGUGGCUCUGGCAUGAUAGGACUUCUGCUUAUGGAGGUAGUGGCUUCUGGAUUCUGGAGCCCACCCAGCUGACAUGAUAGGACUUGAAUGCUAUUGCAGCCAGAAAUAUAUAUGGUCUUUAAGGAUGGAGGCAGACUUAGAACCGCUUGUAAGCUUCCACAUUCGACUAAACUUAGAUCUUCUAGGCAUGGACAAAAGUGAUUCAUGGGUGAGGAUGGCAACUCUGAUACAGCUGCAGGCAUGACUGCCUCACUGCUAGAAGAUCCUUGGACUAACUCCGGCAUGCCCUGCUGCUUGCCGAAUAUGGACUCAAGCUUAUGGCACCGACGAAUAUUCAUUUCCUUGAGAGAUGCCGAAACGUUGAACAUCUCUACCAAAUUUACACAAUCAUAUAAAUAAAGGGACUCCAGACCUGGCAGGUGUUGACUCCUUUCGGACGCCAAUGGCUCAAGAGGAGCCUGUGCAUAUCCAGUCAGGUUUUCGCAGUUUCUAAUCACUAAUAUCCUCAAGGAUACCAAGCUUUGGAACACAUUCUCUGGCCAGUGGAUGAGCACAUCGCAUCUGUUAAUUACCAGCUCUCCAAGAUGUACAAAAUAGUCCCACGGCUCUAGUGCACCUGGUCCAAAGAAUGAGUUGCAGCGUCCUAACUCCAUAACUGUAAGUGGGGAUUUCUGGUUCCAUUUCUCUUUGCUGUCGACCAGUACAAUUGAAGUGCAUUCAGACUCUGAUGUUGUUUCUGUGUGUUCUAGCUUCAGUGUCAGCUUGGUCAAUGAAGACAAAUACCUGUCUACACAGUGGAAGAUCUCUUGCUUCCCAUCUUCAAUUUCGAAUAAACUGAGUUUUGGUGCUUUGGGCAAUGCUACCAGUUUUGGGCAUUUCUGGACUGACAGUUUCUCAAGCUCAGGAAACAAUGUCCCUUCAACUGCAUCCCAUCUCUGAAAGCUCUCCAAGUCUUCCAUUUUGAGCACCUUGAGGGCAGGAAAGGCUGAACGUACCAAUCUAUAACCACCUCCACUACAUGGUUCUUCAAGCAAUGGUGCUUCAGGUAAAUUUAUCAGCUUUGGGCAUUUCUCAAUUGACAGUUCCUCUAGACAAGGAAACAAUAUAUGUUCUCCUUGAGUCUCUUCGACUGCAUCCCAUCUCUGAAAGCUCUCCAACUCUUUCAUUUUGAGUACCUUUAGGGCAGGAAACGCUGAGCGUACCAAUGUAUAACCACCUUCACCACAAGGUCCUUGCAGCAAUGGUGCUUCAGGUAAUGCUACCAACUUUCCACAAUUACUAAUAAACAACUUCUCAAGCACAGGAAAUAUUGUUUGUUCUUCUUGCCUCUCAUCUAUUUCCGGCCAUCUUUCAAAACCCAACAGAUGUUCUAGCAUAAGCACCUUCAGUUUUGGAAAAGUGAGGAUUGUACUGCAUUUGAACAAAAAUUGCAAUCUUUCACAAUGAAAAAGAUGGAUCUCAACCAUGUUCUGCAACAUACCCAUGCACUCUCCUCCAUAGGAAUAUAUCUUCAGAACCUGCAGCCCAACAUGAGGUUCAAAAUUGUUGAGCACCUUGCUGACACAAACAGAGCUCCAUCUUAAUGUCAGUUCUCUGAGAUCCUUCUUUUUACCGAAAUCUGCCACUUUCGCUUCUGUUUCUAUAUCGAUAUUCUCUAACUGGCAUAGCUCUAGCUGCCCACCAAGGUUUAAAUGCUGCAGCUCUCCAACAUCACUGCAAUCAGGACCAGGAACUCCUGCCACAAACCAUGUCAGCGUCUGUAGGUUAGUGAGUUUUCCUAGUCCUGGAGGCAUGCUCUUCAACCCCGGACAUCCAUGAGUGUAGAGGUGACGGAGGAAAGUCAUAUACUUCAUUUGCAUUGGAAGUCGUUCAAGAUAACGGCAGUCGGAAAGGUCCAACACUUGCAGGUUAUAUAGAAUACUUAUAUCCUCAGGAAGUGCUUCGAUAUCACUCCACGAGAGAUCAAGGUACCUCAGGUGAUGCAGAUACUUUGGUUUGAGCGGAAAUGAUUCUGUUCCCAGACAGAGCUUCAAGGCAUGCAAAGAGCUAUAUUUUGAUAGAUGCUUCAAUGAGCUUUGAAUAGGACUAUCGCAUAUCAGUGUUUGAAUGGCAGGGGACUUUUUCUCCAAAGAAUCAUUCAAAAUACCUUCUGUUUCAUCACAUGACAAGAACAAAUGCCGAGCAGUAUCCGAAAGCCACUCAAUUUGACUUGGUUCCUUAAUUGCAACGACACAUUCCUUUCCCAUAACAGACAUUGCAAUAUCAUGCAUAAGAUCAUGGAUUUUGCAUGUAGUUCUGAAACAGUACUGCUGAUUUUGCAUGUCACCCUUAAAUUCCUCUAUGUCCAGAAAGAAUGACCUUGAUGCUAGCUCACUGAAAAUAUGUUUGCCAACGGUUUCAAGACUAUCUUCCUCCUGUUCUGGGAUAAAGCCAUUUGCAAUCCAAAGUUGGAUAAGCUUCUCCACAUUAAUCUUGUAAUCCUUGGGAAAUAUGGCACAGAAAGCAAAGCAUUGCUUCAUGUGUGCUGGCAAAUCGUUGUAGCUAAGCUUGAGUAUUGGCAAAAUUCCCGUUUCCUCAGUGCAGAUACUGCUUCUAGAUGAUACAACCUUCCAUUCUUCUACGCUGGUCUUGGUACGAAGUACAGAGCCCAGUGCAGUUGCAGCUAAAGGAGAGCCACGACAUCUCUUCACAAUCUCACCAACCAUCUCGAGCAGCUCGGGAGGCUUUUCAUUCUCUGAACUGAAUGCUCUAUCCACAAUAAUUUCCUCUAUGAAGUAAUCCUGCAAAACAUUGAGAUUGUAGGUUCUAUCUACACCCAUAGUUUCAGCAACUUGUUUAUCACGGGUUGUUGUCAACACUGCACUACCCAUGCCACCCUGUUGAAGACAGACCUUCAGCCUUUCCCACUUAUGGACCUCUCUGUUCCAGACAUCAUCCAAUACAAGGAGAUACCUCUGCCCGCUGACCAGUUUUUGAAGUCUAUCCAGUGCUGGUUUGUUUGUAUCAUCAUUUUUCUUGGGGGAUGCUUCAACUAUACUCUUAGCCACCGAAUUCACAUCAAAGGUAUCAGAGAUGCAGACCCAGAGCUGCAACGGAAAAUGCUUCUGAAUUUCAGGUUCAUUGUAUAUGAGUUGCGCCAAUGUGGUCUUGCCAAGGCCCCCCAUUCCAACAAUGGGAACUACUGCAAGAUUUGCAUUGCUAGCUUCACCAAGUAGCACCUUAAUGAUAUUAUUCUUAUCUUCGCGCCUGGAUCUGCUGGCAAUUUCUUGUGGGUCGAUGAUGACAUAAUCUGUGUGCCUCCACUCCUUGGACACUGGUGUCUGCCUCAACUGAUUGGACACCAACAAUGUCUGCCUCAACCCAAAGUCAUGCAUCUCUGCAAUGAGGAAAUUGACGCGGCGCAGAAGCAGGAGGCGACUCCGGUGAAGUUAUGGCGGCCGGCGCCGAACGGUACACACACGGCACAAGACAGUGGAACACAAGGGCUGUGCAGAAUGGUGAGAAGAGUGGUGUGAGCACAGGUGCAGGUGCAGAAUGGAGAAGAGAAUGGUGUGAGCAAGUCGUGCUUGGCUUUCUGUUAACCAAUCACAACUACCCAAUCUUGCAACGUUAACAGCUGGUGUGAGCACUUGGCAUUCUUUUUGGGCAUACCACGUUAACAGCUGGGGGUAUCUUUUUUUCUUAGUAGGGACAGCUGGAGCACCAGACAACCAGAAUAUUGCAAGUGGGUCAUUAUAAUUGAUAUUUAUAUGCCAGUAGAACCAAUGCAGUUUUUCAAAAUUUGCGUUCCACUGGCUGUGAAGUUAGCAAAUACGAUUUACUUUUUCCAAAUACAAAAAGUCGCAGAAAUGCAAAUCUAAAAAUUACCUGCGUGAGACAGCAUACCUAUUUGUGCAAAAGACAAUUCAUCUCGGAGUUUCUGCCACAGAGGGAAGGCCAAAACUUUGGUUUUCUUAAUUGGUUGAAUCUUGAAUGCAUCACAUGCCUCCUGCUGAAGAGAGAAAACCCAGAAACGGCUUUGAGAGCUACAAAGGAACGCCUGUAUUUUUUGUGUUAAUAUUGCCAAUAAUGGUGGAUGGAUCUAGCUGGUAUUUCUAGUUUCUUUUUCAAGAAUACGCUCAGGUCAUCACACAGGUCAUUUAUUUGCACCAGCUGGUUGGUGCACUGCCCCUUCUCUCGAAAUGUGCUUUCAAAAUUCAAACACCUCAUUAAGUGUACAUUUUGAUAUACUAAAGUGCAUAUCAGCAGGAAAAACACAAAUCAUCGCUGGCAUGUCCUUAAGAACUCUGGACUUUUUGGGAGAUUAGAGGAGCAUAUUUUCAGAAUUAGCACAGAUUAGCACAGUCCUCAUGGUGAGAACAACAUAUCCCAAAUUGCCAAUAAAAAUACUACACAGAUUAGCACAAGCACACUGCAGAACGGAGAAGAGAAUGGUGUGAACAAGACUGUGCUUGGUUUGCGUGUGAGAAAAACGGAAGAGCAUUGACUUUCUGGGAGCCAAGUGGCUGAGCUUGAUUUCUCGGAACCAACCACAACUAUCUAAUUUUGCAACAUCUCGGCACUGGGCAUUCUUCCUGAGCUGACAUGAAAUAAGGCAGCUAGCACUGCAUACCAACAGCUCGGGGUAUCUUCAUUUCUUUGCAAGUAUAUCAUUAUAUAAUGUAUGUUAGAUCCAAUGCAGUUUUUCAAAAGUGACAAUGCAUUGGAUGUGAACUCAGCAAACGGUAAGAAUUUCUUUCCAUGUACAAGAAGCUGCAGGAAUGCAAAUUAAACAAUUACCUCCACCGACGGGUGACAACAGACAUACAGUGCACCUACAAAACACAAUCCAUCUCUAAUUAACGCAUAACAUGCUUCCUGCUGAAGAUAGAAGACCCGGAGGCAAGUGGUUAUUUUCUUGUCCAUUUCUAAUGACACCUCUAAUUAACAUUGCAGGGGGCAGGAUCGAUCUCAAAGAGUAGCAUAAUCAGCUGCAGAUGAUUAUCACUUGUUCAUAUGGGCAAAUGAUAUACUUAACAUACGGAUAUGAUAAGACACAACUAGACAAUCUCCUAUUAUUUGACGAUGGAAGAUAUGUACGAGUAUACGAUACAAUUUGAUGAACCUAUUAGGUUCCAUUACUGUGAGACAGUGAAAACCAGAAUAAAGGGCUGUAUGGAGUUUUUUUAUCAGCCUAACGGGGUCGGCUUAAGUAACUAAAAUAAGAUGAAGCCUAACUUUUCAACCAUACAAGCAACAAAGUUAAAGACAGUGAGCUAAAACAAUAGUCGCGUAUACCUUAAAAGAUAAAUUCCCAGUGCCUUUUUAUUGAUCAUCACUGCGUAUGGCCAUAUAAUUUGCUAUUAGAUCAUCAUUAUAUUAUAUAUUUACGUCGGUAGUCGGUACAUACAAUGCAGUUUAUCAAAAGUGACAAUGCAUCCGCUGUGACCAAAGCAAAUAGUACAAAUUUUAUUUCCAAUUACCGAAGGUCGAGGAGUGCAAAUUAAACAAUUACCUCCACCGACGGGUGACAGCACACAUACAGUACACCUACAAAAUACAAUUCAUCUCGAGGACCACAAUAUUGGUUUUCGUGAAUUAUUGAAACUUGAAUGCAUCACAUGCUUUCUGCUGAUGAGAGAAGACCCGGGGGCAAGUGGUUAUUUUCUUGUCUUUUAUAAUGACACCUCUAAUUAACAUUGAAGGGACAGGAUCGGCUCUCAAAGAUAAGAAUAAUCAGCUGGCAGAUGAUUAUCUCUUGUGCAUAUGGACAGAUGAUAUAUACUUUUGUACUGAUAUGCUAAUUCAUGUUUUUCGACAAUGAAUGAUAUGUAUGAGUAUGAGAUACAAUUUUGACGAGCUUAAUAGGUUCUAUUAUUGUGAGGCAGGAACUUAUGGAGUUCUUAUUAUCAACUUAAUGAGAUCCGCUCAUAACCAACUAAAAUCAGAUGAAACCCAACCUUUUAACCAUACAACGGAGGCAGCAGAAAUAAAGAUAGAGAGCUUAACGAGAUCCGCUUAACUAACUAAAAUCAGAUGAAACCUAACUUUUUAACCAUACAAUGGAAGACAAGGGCAGUGCAGAAUGGAGAAAAGAAUGGUGAAAACACAAAUGCGGUGCAGAAUGGAGAAGAGAAUGGUGAGAGCAAGAUGUGCUUGCCUGUAAGGAAAAUGGAAGCCAACGUGAGUGUUGACUUUCUGUGAGCCAAGUGGAUGAGUUUGAUUUUCAGUAACCAAUCAGAACUAUCCACUCUUGCAACAGCUCAGCAUUAGCUGGGCAUUCUUUUUGGGAACACCACGUUAACAGCUGGGCAUAUCUUCAUUUCUUAAUAAGGCACAGCGACAAAGACAACCAGAAUAUUGCAAGUAGAUCAUUAUAUUAGGUAUUUAUAUGCCAGUACAUUGCUUGGCUGUGAACUUAGCAAAUACGAUUUUCUUUUUGCAAAUAUACAAAAGGUCACAGGAAUGCAAAUCUAAAAAUUACCUCAACUGACUAGACGUGUGACAGGAUACCUACUUGUGCAAAACACAAUUCAUCUUAGAGUUGCUGCCAAGGAGGGAGGGCCGGAGUAUUGGUUUUCUUGAUUGGUUGAAUCUUGAAUGCAUCACAUGCUUCGAUUCCCGCUGAAGAGAGAAGACCCAGAAAUGGCUUUUAGAGCCCGGAAGCAACGCCUGUAUUUUUUUUAUAUUGGCAAUAAUGGUGGAUGGAUCUAGCUGGUAUUUCGGGUUUCUUUUUCAGAAUACGCUCAGGUCGUCUCACAGGUCAUUUAUUUGCCCCAGCUGGUUGGUGCACUGUCCCUCUCUCUAAAUGUGACUUCAAAAUUAAAACAUCUAAUUAAGUGUACAUUUUGAUAUACCAAAGUGCAUAUCAGCAGGAAAAACACAAAUCAGCACUGGCAUGUUCUUAAGAACUCUGACCCUUUUGGGUUUUGUACAUAAUAUUGUGGGAGACUAGGGGAAGCAUAUUUUCAGAAUUAGCACAGAUUAGCACAGUAGUAAUUUACGUCAGUACAUAGAAUUUCUGAGCAAGCACAGUGCAGAAUGGAGAAGAGAAUGGUGUGAGCAAGCCAUGUUUGGCUUGCGUGUAAGGAAAAUGGAAGCCAGAAUGAGCAUUGACUUUCUGGGAGCCAAGUGGACGAGCUUGAUUUCUGGGAACCAAUCACAAACUAUCCGAUCUUGCAUACCGUAUUAGCUGGUGACAGCACUGGGUACCUUCAUUUCUUAAUAGGCAAAAGCUUGACAAACCCUCUUAUUGCAAGUCAGAAUGAAGAUUUCUCAUUCUUAAUAUCGCAAGUAGGUCAUUAUAUUACGUAUUUACGUCAGUACAUCCAAUGCAGUUUUUCAGAAAUGACCAUGCAUUGGCUGUGAACUCGGAAAAUAGUAAGAAUUUUCUUUCCAAAUACAAGAAGUCGCAGGAAUGCAAAUUAAACAAUUACCUCAACUGACGGGUGACAGCACGCAUACAUUGCACCUACCAAAUACUACCUCCGUUCCAUAAUAUAAGAGUGUUUUUUACACUAUUGUAGUGUCAAAAACGCUCUUGUAUUAUGGGACGGAGGGAGUACAAUUCAUCUCGAGGACAACGACAUUGGUUUUAGUGAAUUCAUUGAAACAUGAAUGCAUCACAUGCUUUCUGCGGACGAGAGAAAACCCGGGGGCAAGUGGUUAUUUUCUUACCUUUUUUAAUGACACCUAUAAUUAACAUUGAGUUAACUGGGCAAUUCUCUUCUCCUUAAUUAAUCGAUGAGGCAAAUCUUUUGCCUCCGUUUCGAAAAAAUAAUAAUAAUUAACAUUGAGUACAGGAUCGGAUCUCAAAGAUAAGAAUAAUCGGCUGGCAGAUGAUUAUCUCUUCUGUAUGUGGACAAAUGAUAUAUACUUUUGUACUGAUAUGAUAAUUUACGUUAUUCAAUGAUGAAAGGUAUGUAUGAUUAUGAGAUACAACUUCGACGAGCUUAAUAGGUUCUGUUAUUUUGAGGCAGUGAAGACCAGAAUAAAGGACUGUAUGGAGUUCUUGUCCUUUAUUAACAAGGUCCGCUUAACAAACUAAAAUCAGAUGAAACCUAACUUUUUAAUCAUACAAUGGAGGCAGCAAAAAUAAAGAUAAAGAGCUUAACGAGAUCCGCUUAUAACUAACUAAAAAUCAGCUGAAACCUAACUUUUUAACCAUACAACGGAGGCAGCAAAAAUAAAUACAGAGAGCUAAAAAAAUAGUGACGUAUACAUUAGAAGAUAAAUUCCAGUGCCCUUUUAUUGAUCAUCACUGCCUAUGGCCAUAUAAUUUGCUAUUAGAUCAUCAUGAUAUUAAUAUAUUUAUGUCGGUACAUCCAAUGCAGUUUUUCAAAAGUGAAGAUACAUUGCCCGUGAACUCAGCAAAUAGGAGUGUUCUUUCCAGAUACAAGAAGUUGCAGCAAUGCAAGCUAAACAAUUACCUCCACUGCUGGGUGACCACAGGGAGGACCACAAUAUUGGUUUUCGUGAAUCUUGAAUGCAUCACAUGCUUCCUGCUGAAGAGAGAAGACCCGGUGGCAAGUGAUUAAUUUUUCUUGUCCUUUAUUAAUGACACCUCUAACUAACAUUGAAGGGGCAUGAUCGAGCUCAGAGAUUAGCAUAAUAAGCUGGCAGAUGACCAUCCCUUGCUCAUAUGGACAAAGGAUACACUUAAUAUACUGAUAUGAUAAAAACACAGCUUGACAAUCUCCUGUUAUUCGAAGAUGAAAGAUAUGUAUGAGUAUGCGAUACAAUUUGUGGGUUUUCUUUAUUUUUGAGACAUACAAUUUGGUGAGCUUAAUAUGUUCCGUUAUUGUGAGACAUUGAAAAGCGGAAUAAAGGGCCAUGUGGAAUUCUUUUUAUCAGAUUAACGAGAUCGUCUUCACUAACUAAAAUCAGAUGAAGCCUAACUUUGCAACCAUACAACGGAAGCAACAAAAAUACAGACAGAGACCUCGAACAACAGUGGCCAUAUGAAUGAGAUCUGGGACUCGGCCAUAUGAACAACAGUGAAGAUAAAUUCCAGUGUCCUUUUAUUGAUCGCUGCCUAUGCCCAUAUAAAUGAGAUCUGGGACUCAGCCCGCUCCAACAUGGCUCUAGAAAGCACAUUUCCUCUGACGCACAUAUGAAAUACGACAGUACAAAACAGAACAAACACUGAGAUUAUAAUUAUACAGAUGACUGGAUGCUGUAACUAACUUGGAUAUCGCUGCACCGAAGACGGACUUUCUUCUCAGACAUCAGAGAGAAACGGAAUGUCCAUGCCAACUGCUUCUCCUCGACUCCACCUGCACAGCGCGCAUAGGCGGAAAUUUGAUGAUUAUUUGAAGUGACAUACACAUAAAGCACAGAGUUACUCAGCUAACAAAGCACGUAUGUACAUCGCUGUCAGGCUGAAUCCUGCUUCCUGACAAUCGGAAUUCAUGUGAAUCGAAUCGCUGGAAGAGACGGACAGACAGGAUCGAUACCUUGUGUCCACGGCGAGGCCUGAGUGGCUGCCGUCGACGUACGACCCGCAACCGACGGAGGAGCUCCGGGACCUUCUUGUCGAGACCAUCUGCAAUGGAAGUAAAAAAGAGCUGUUAGAAGAGGAUCCGAAAGAGGUUGAUGGUAGGAAGGAAUGGGAAGGGGAACGAGUGGGUGCCUCGAGCGGCCGCGGUGGUGGUGGGCGGGCGGAUGCGGAGGGUGGGAGGGAGGCUGACACCUCCGCCGCCACAGACGUACGUGGAGCGGCCGCGGGCGGUGGGAUCCGGGAGAGGCUGCGGCGGCGAGCGGUCCGGCCGGCGAGGAGGACGGGGAAGGGAGAGACGAAGACGACGCAGAUCGGCGGAAUGUGGGCUGGGCUUGUGACUUUGAGGCCUCCGAAAACUAUAGCCCAGUUCGAAUUGGUGCCCUAACACACACAACACUUACGUUGGGCCUAAUCGCUCGCUCCUGCCCCUGCUCAAAAUUUUUUUUGCUCCAGGCUGGGGGCCUCUGUUCCACCCCCAUCUAUCGCUCCACCUCCAAACAAAAAAAAAAUCUAUCACUCCACCUCCACUCCAAAAAUAUAAAAUUCUAUCAAUCCACCUACGCCUCGAAAAAAGAAAUCUAUCACUCCACCUCAGCAUUGAUGUCUCUAGCUUGUAGAAACUGCCAUCCUUUACAUGUAAAACGGAUUCGAUGAGUCAUGUCAUGCUCUAUAGACGUCAGUUCAUCUUAUCAUCUUACAGGAAAGUACAAAGUUAGUUUUCUGAAAAGCAACCGAAUAUAGAAGAACACUCCACACUCAAGGCUUUACUAAUCGAGCAUAUCCUAACAGCCCACACAUGAUUGCAAACUUAGUCAUACACAAGUUUUGCCUUUCUUGUUUACGGCUGACAGCCUAUACAAGGUUCCAAACUCGGUUGUAAAAGUGAUACUAUCUUGAUAAGUGUGUGACAUGUAAAGUUAAUAAGGUGAGUCAUAUAUAGCAAAUAUCGGGGUUUCUGUACUUUGUGUGUGAUCGUAUGCACAACUAAAAAUCAACUUUGAUGAUCAAUAUAUCCAAAAGUACGCUUGUAGCUAGUGCAAACCUAACCCAAUGUAACAAAAUAAUUCAUUUCAGAUGGAGCCAAACAGAAUUAUUAAAGCUGAUGCAAAGAAGGAAAAGAGGUGGUUCCUGGGCUACUAUAAAUAGGCAUGAAGUAUAAAGAUCAUCACAAGCACAAGCAUCAGAACCAAGCAACACUAGUUAACACCAAUCCACCAUGAAGACCUUCCUCGUCUUUGCCCUCCUCGCCGUUGCGGCGACAAGUGCAAUUGCGCAGAUGGAGACUAGAUGCAUCCCUGGUUUGGAGAGACCAUGGCAGCAGCAACCAUUACCACCACAACAGACAUUUCCACAACAACCACUAUUUUCACAACAACAACAACAACAACUAUUUCCUCAACAACCAUCAUUUUCGCAGCAACAACCACCAUUUUGGCAGCAACAACCACCAUUUUCUCAGCAACAACCAAUUCUACCACAGCAACCACCAUUUUCGCAGCAACAACAACUAGUUCUACCGCAACAACCACCAUUUUCACAGCAACAACAACCAGUUUUACCUCCACAACAAUCACCUUUUCCACAACAACAACAACAACACCAACAGCUGGUGCAACAACAAAUCCCUGUUGUUCAGCCAUCCAUUUUGCAGCAGCUAAACCCAUGCAAGGUAUUCCUCCAGCAGCAGUGCAGCCCUGUGGCAAUGCCACAACGUCUUGCUAGGUCGCAAAUGUUGCAGCAGAGCAGUUGCCAUGUGAUGCAACAACAAUGUUGCCAGCAGUUGCCGCAAAUCCCCCAGCAAUCCCGCUAUGAGGCAAUCCGUGCUAUCAUCUACUCCAUCAUCCUGCAAGAACAACAACAGGUUCAGGGUUCCAUCCAAUCUCAGCAGCAGCAACCCCAACAGUUGGGCCAAUGUGUUUCCCAACCCCAACAGCAGUCGCAGCAGCAACUCGGGCAACAACCUCAACAACAACAAUUGGCACAGGGUACCUUUUUGCAGCCACACCAGAUAGCUCAGCUUGAGGUGAUGACUUCCAUUGCGCUCCGUAUCCUGCCAACGAUGUGCAGUGUUAAUGUGCCGUUGUACAGAACCACCACUAGUGUGCCAUUCGGCGUUGGCACCGGAGUUGGUGCCUACUGAUAAGGAAAGAUCUCUAGUAAUAUAUAAUUGGGUCACCGUUGUUUAGUCGAUGGAUAUGUCGAUGCAGCGGUGACAAAUAAAGUGUCACACAAUGUCAUGUGUGACCCGCCCAAACUAGUUGUUUAAAUUCUGAAAUAAAAUAAAAAUAAAGUUGUAUCAAGACAAUGUUCAUAUUGGCAUUGUGUGGAUGUCAAUCUGAUUGCCAUGCUUGCAAGUUCAUAAGUUUGUCUUUCCUUGUCACAAGCGCAACCUGGUGCCUUAAUUAAUUAUCAAUGUACUGGAAUAAUCACUAUUUAAAUAUAAUAGUGUCACUGUAAAAUUUGGGUUGAACUCUUUAUUGGUUGGAGAUUUGAGAUCUUGUUUUUUAUUGGUUUGUAUCUAGUACCAACUAGUACCACUGUCUACAGUGACAAUCACAACCAGUUUUGUUGCUAAUUAUGUUUGCUUUCUUGCAAAUACAUUCAUUGAUUCUUUGCAUGUCAAAUUAUUUGCCGAGAAAAAUACCAGCUUUUUCUUGAACUUCACAAACACCACUAGCUAGUUAAUUUGAAAUAAGCUGCCAAUUUAUUUCCUUGUAUUUAUGCCCUUUACAUCGAACCAGUACAAUCAUUGUGCUAGCUAGAGAAAAGGAGUUGCUGGCACGUUCAUGUCUAGAACUAAAUCAGACUGAAUUGAACUUGUUCUUUACAACUAGCUAGGAGCAGAAAACUUACUGUGAAUUGCACUUGAUUAUAUUUGAUUUUGUUUAAGAGCUACAGGGAAAAAUCAUCAAAAAAUGCCCUAAAAUAUCUUAUCGUAAAAUAGGUUCACCAGGAGAUACAGUCGCAAGAAAAAAAAGGCUCACCAGGAGAUAGAUGCUGCACAUUAUCAUUUAGAAAUUAGACCAAGAGAAAUGUGGAUUUGGCGGCUCAUAAUUCUAUAAGACUAUAACAGGUUGUCCAAUCAUUUAGAAAUUAGAUCAAGAAAAUGUGGAACUAAACAUAUUAAUGGCUAGGAUCAUAUUUGCACUGUGGGAACUUGGUAUGCGCGCUCCAACAUGCCCGUUGAAAGCAUUUUUUCCUCUGAUGCACAUAUGAAAUAUGACUGGUCGAAAACAGAAGAAACAGUGAGAUAAUAUGGAUGCUUGGAUGUUGUAACAAACAUAAACUUAUUAUAUAUAUAUCCAAUCCACCGAGCGGACGAACAUCCUAGGAGCUUUUCUCUCGGAGAUCGAAAAGAAACGAAAUGUCCACGCCAACUGCUUCUUCUCCAUCUGUAUAACGCGUGUAGGAGAAUUAUUUUGAUGAUUAUUUGAAGUGGCAUCCACAUAGAGUACAAAGCUAUUCAGCUAGAAAAGCCACAAAUGUACAUCACUUUUAGCCUACAUGACUGAACUCUGCUCCAUGACCUUCUUGAUUCAUGCGGCUCCUGAAUUCAUGUGAAUCGAAUCGCGGAAGAGAUAGGCUUUCAGGGUCAAUACCUCAUGUUCAUGGGAAGGCCGGAGAGGCUGCGUCGAUGUGCAGCCUGAACCCGAGGAGGAGCUCCGUGUCGGUGUCAAAACCGGCGGAUCUCGGGUAGGGGUCCCGAAUUGUGCGUCUAGGAUCGAUGGUAACAGGAGACGGGGGACACGAUGUUUACCCAGGUUCGGGCCCUCUCUAUGGAGGUAAUACCCUACUUCCUGCUUGAUUGAUCUUGAUGAAUAUGGGUGUUACAAGAGUUGAUCUACCAUGAGAUCGUAAUGGCUAAACCCUAGAAGUCUAGCCUAUGUGUAUACGGUAAUGAAUGUCCCCUAUCCGGACUAUGCUCUCCGGUUUAUAUAAACACCGGAGAGAUCUAGGGUUACAUGGAGUCGGUUACAUAAGAAGGAAUCUUCACAGCUGGUCACCUAGCUUGCGUUCCACGCCAAGGGAAGUCCAAUCCGUACACGGGUGUAGUCUUCGGCCUUCGUAUCUUCACAGCCCAUCAGUCCGGCCCAAUGAAUAAUAGGCCGGACGCCCGAGGACCCCUUAGUCCAGGACUCCCUCAGUAGCCCCUGAACCUGGCUUCAAUGACGAGGAGUCUGGCGCGCAGAUUGUCUUCGGCAUUGCAAGGUGGGUUCCCUCCUUCCGAAUUCCGGAAUAGUCUUCGGAUGCAGUAGAUAUAUUUGGACCUGUGUAUAUAAUUGCAAAAAAUACAAUAUUCCACGAGUCUAAUUUGUUGAUAACUGUUUACAACAUCGCAUCACGCCUGCCCGGUUACUAUUUCCAACCGUUGGCUGGCACGUCGCCCCACGUCUCGGGACGCGGUUUUACUGGCACGUCUUGCCAAGGCAGAGAUCGUGUUCCCUUAUUCACGGGACUUUCAUUAAUGCAAGCGUGGGUAACCCAACCGUCCCCUGGGUACAACUCUCUGGGGAUAGGUAAGUUUCGAGACCCAGGUGGAUACCCUUAGUAUUUGGGGUCUUUAUAUAGGGCCCCAGACUCGUCUUCUUCCUUUGCGCUUGCUUCUUCCUCAACCCUAGCCACCCCAAGUUCCAACCCUCGGGUUCCCAUCGCCACCAGCCCUAAUCAUGUCCGAAUCCAGCCGUCAAGGCCGGUGGGUGGCUUCUUCUAUCACAGAGGAGGAUAUUGCAAAGCUCUGCGCAGUGAGGUAUCUGACCCCGGAAAUCCUUCAUCAGCUUCCUGCACAGGGGCAGGUCGUUCCUACCCCCAAAUCCGGCGAGAGGGUAGUGUUUGUGUCCCACUUCCUCCAUGGGUUAGGUUUCGCGCUUAACCCCUUCGUCCGGGGGCUCAUGUUCUACUAUGGGCUAGACUUUCACGAUCUAGCCCCGGACUCUAUUCUUCUCAUCUCGACAUUUAUCGUCACGUGUGAGGCCUUCCUUCGGACUCCUCCGCACUUUGGUUUGUGGCUCAAGACCUUUGAUGUGAGGCCGCAGGUGACAGAGGAGGAGCAGGCAGAGUGUGGCAGCGUCACAAUAGGCAAGCUUGCCAGCGCGGUUUGGUUUGAAGGAUCUUUCACCAAGUCUUCCGACCUAUGGCAGCACGGGUGGUUUUAUAUCAACGAGCCGCGGGGCUCCAAGUGGGAGGCUACGCCUGCGUUCCGACCCGGCCCUCCAAUUCAGCUCGCUUCAUGGAUCAAUAAGGGACUGGACUGGGGAUCCGUCAAUGAAAUGCAGACUCUGCAAGGUCGCAUCCGAAGCCUUACCAAGAAGGGCAUCGGUCUUGUGAACGUCGUUCAAGUAAUGCUAGUCCGCCGGACCCUGCCAUGUCAGCGGCGGCCUCUCCGUAUGUGGGAGUUUAAUUCAGAAGGGCAGCGGCCUCUUCAGCACUUCUUCGGCACCACGCACGAAGGAAUGUGGAAAUUAUAUUUCGGGGAACGAGAGCAAUGGCCGGACACCACCGAAGAUGUCGGCCUUGACUGCAAUCAUCCAGACACCGCGGUAAGUACUCAAACGCUGAACACAUUCAAGCAUCUCUUGACAACAUACUGAACAAUCCGUCCCUAUACAGGACUGGAUAAAGAAAGCAGUGUUAAUCUGGUGUCCGGCGCCCCUUCCCGAAGACUCUGCGACCGCCCUGCUGACGAGAAUGCUGAUUCCCACACCGUACCAGGUUUCUGCGGAGGAGGGCGAGAGCGGGGAACCCGAAGGUGAUACCCGCCCUGAGGACGAAUUAGACAUUGUGUUCGGGGAAACCGAAACUCUUUUGCCCAAGGGCAAAGGUGCGGAGGAAGCUCUCCAUGGCAAAAAGAGGGCUGCUUCCGAAGAUCAGGAGGGGAAGCCUUCCAAGAGAGGAAAAAUGCCAUCGUCGGGCAGUUUGGGCCGGCCAAGCGAUGCUGCCGUAAGGCUUUCUGGCGAGGACGAACCUCUGGCCAAACCGUAAGUGAGGCUGGGGCACUUUAAACAUACCUCAUUCUUUUCCUAUUAGUGAAGUAAUCAUCCGACAUAUGCACAUCCACGUAGGUUAACGCCUGGUGUUUCUCAAUCAUCCUCCUCCUCGGGAGACCUUCUUCCGGAGAUGAUGGAGAGUGACACGCCAUCUCCGGCUUCUUCGCGCAACAGGGGGGAUGAUACCGAGGUAUCGUCCCGAAGGGCUCCUCCCCAUCGUCAAGCGGUGCAGGAAACGGAGAAGGCGUUACCCGAAGGUGGUGCCUCUGUCACCCAGGGUUCGGGAAUCAAGAAUGACGGCCCCGAACCAUCCGGUUUACAGCCGGAGAUGAUUCUGGGGGAGAAUAAGCAGAUUAAUUCAAAGGAAUGCCGUACUCCGGCGGCGGUUUCCGAAGACCCCGGAGCGCCGGAAAUGUUGACGGACAUGCUGCGGCGAGCGUCCAUUUCAGAGAAGCACCAUGCCUUGAUGGUUACGGUGGUCGAAAAGGUUCUAUCCGCGAAAAGCGGAUUGAACGAGGCCUUCUGGAGCCUUCUAAGAGGUUUUGAGGUUUGUGAUGUAGUUUUGCCAAUUGAAUGAUUUUGACAGAAUGCACUUGUUGUAUAUGCAGUAGCCCCUGAGACUCGGAUUGCCUUCCGAAGGAAGCGAUCGGAGGAUAAAAAAGAUAUGCUCAGUUACUAACCUUGAAUCAACUUGGAAUACAGGCUGCCUCGCCUCCUGCGGCUACCCGAAAUACGGAAGUGGCCGAACUGCAGCGAAAGCUGAAUAUUGCAGAAGAUGACAUUGCAUUGAUCAACAAGCGUCUUGACGACUCGCAAGGUAUAUAGUUCGAGCAUUCCUUACACGAAUGUUCUUGUAAUGUAGGCCUGACGCCGAAAAGGGUUUAAUGUGCAUGAUUGCAGAUGGUGUUCCCUCCGUUGAAGCUCCUUGUGAGGAGCUAGCCCGGCCCAAGGAGCAGGCCCGGUGUAGUGAUGCGGCUGCCGAGAAGGCAUCGGCUGAUCUAAGAGCCGAAUAAGCAGCUCGGCGCCGAAGUGAGGAGAAAAUAUCCGCACUGGCGCUUGAAUUGAAGAAUACUGCCAGCCACUGUGAAUUCCUUGAGAAGGAGAAUAAAGCCAAAAUGGCUGAACUUGAUAAGGCCGUUCGAGAGGCGAGUGAAGCUCGGUCUGAAUCUAGGGCAGCUUGGGAAGAGAUUCGGCAGGCUAAGGAGAUAGCGGCCGGUAAGCCCUUUUUGCUUCAGACUAAGUUUGGCGAUCCGGACUAUGCUCAGCUAAACCAGGUCUGGAGUUCUCCGACUGAAUUUUUGGACUUGCCGAAGAGUUCUUCCAAUGCAGCGCAAUUUUACCAAGCGCAAGAGGGGUAUGCGAUGGAGAAGCUUUUCUGGUCACAAUUUGGCGCCUCAAAGCGCCCUCUGUUGCUAAAUGAACAGAUGUCCCAGUGGGCCGAGCUUCAUAGGAUAUCCGGCGACGCCAUGAAGAACGUCAUAAUCCGGUUGUGGCCGAGUGAGCCUGUUCCCAAGAGCUAUUUUGGCCUGGUGCGGCGUCUUGUUGAUGCUGUGCCGCGUAUCGAUGCUGCGAAGCGGUCGGCAUGCACUGAGGGUGCACGGAUGGCCUUUGCCCGAGUCAAGACGUUCUGGGGGAAGAUGAAGGCCAUCGAUGUUGCGGCGAAGGGUCCGCCCAAGGGCAAGGACCGUAAUGAGCCGGAGCAUUAUUUUGAAGACGUCCUAGAAGCCGCCCGCCUGAUAGAGGGUCAAUGCUCGAAGAACAUAAUGUUCGAGUGAGGUGUAUUAGAAUUGUAAAAGACAAUUUUAUGAUUGAUCUAUUUUAUAUUUUUGCUCCAAAGCUUGAAUUCCUCCUCUGCGGCCGUUUUAAUAUAAUAUGAAAGUUUUCCAGUCGUCGGCUUCAGCCCCCUCGUAGGAAGUACGGGGGUGUUCGAAAAAACAUUUAAUCACUCUUUGUCCAAUGUCUUGGUCCGUAAAGGAGGUGAUAAUGCAGCGAACCAGGCAAUCGGACUAUAAGGCGUUAACACUUUCACUUAGCCAUAGGAGUUUUAUGGUGGGGCUACGACAUUGCCCCUGGUGUGUAUGCGGCGUAUAAUGCCUUGCAUAUUUGAUCUGAAAAAGAUCCCUCGUAUGACACGGAGAAUCGCUAAGGAUUCCAAGAAGUCGUCAAGUGGUUAAUCAGCUCUCGCCGCAUCAUGACAGUCAGUUUUCGGCUUUCUCUACUGAGGUGCUCGUCCGGUUUAGAACAGGGCACAAUCGCAGUAGUUCUCCCUUUACUACCCUAGCCGAUAGAGCGGAACGUAGGGUAGCAAGCACAGGAGCCGGGCAACCCAACUAUUGACCCAAGACAAUGAUUCGGAGCUGAUGCAUAUAAGGCCAAACUUGCGACGCCCAAGUACGCUAUAGAGUUGUUGGGACUUUUGCUGGCAACUCUUUCGUUCCCAUACCGAGCCCCUGGCAGGGUAUGCCGAGGUGUAUCUGUAACGCAGCCAUUGAGGCCGUACUCAUUGUUGCAAGAGUAUGAAAGAUUAGUUCGGACGAGGUUUACUGGGAACGGAGCAAUAUGCCAAUGACGAAUUUAAAAAUAAUAAAAAAGAAACCACAAGCCCGGCUAUUUGACAUGCUCGGGGUCGGGUACAGAGGAAAAAAAGGCUUAAUACAGGCUCGGAAUAAAGAGUGUGGUCUACAAAAAGUUAUUUUGGACCUCCUGUCGCACGUCUGCGCCGCCCGUCCUCGGGGAGGGGAAUCCUUAAGGGAAGUAGCCCCUUAGGUGAGUGUACGGAUCCGAACUCCGAUAGAGUCCGUUGUAGAUGCUGUCAUGUUGGUCACCUGUUCUUAAGAAAUGAUACAGAAAAAUAAGAAAAACGGAUAAGAACGUUACAGGGAUUCUUGCAGGCUUGUCCAUAUUGUGCUUCCGCCGAUGCCCAUGGUAUCUUGAGUGCGUAGUGAUGUAUGCGUGGUGUGAAUCUCGCCGGUAUGGUAGGUGGGUGGCGGAUGCCGAACUGCUAUUUCUGUUCCGAGAGUGGUCGAACUUCGGAGGGAAACUGCUUCUGGCCCCUGAUAUUCGGCUGGCGAAACGCUCCGUUGUCUUUAUCGCCUGGUGGCCUCCUCCCCUUGCUAUCGGCGUUGAGCUUGCCUGCCUGCUUGAGGACCCAACAAUUUCUGUUAGUAUGGUUAGCUGGCUUAUCAGGAUGACCAUGAAUCUGACAAGGUCGGUCCAAUAUUCUGUCAAGGGUGGAUGAUCCAUCCUGGUUUGCCUUUAGUGGCUUCUUCCAUUGACCGGGUUUCGAAUUGUGAAAUUCGGCGUUGACCGCUGUGUCGCGUAAUCCUUCAGUAUUAUUGCGACUGUUGUGUUCGGUUCGUCGAGGCUUACCGUUGCCGUCUUGAAUUUCGGAAGUGCCCGGGUCACUGGCGUUGUUGCUCUUACGAGCGAGCCAGGUGUCUUCUCCCGCACAAAAGCGAGUCAUCAGAGCGGUAAGGGCUAUCAUGGAUUUGGGUCCUUCCUGGCCGAGGUGACGCGCUAGCCAUUCAUCCCGGAUGCCAUGUUUGAAGGCUGCGAGGGCUUCUGCGUCCGGACAGUCGACAAUAUGUUUUUUUUUUUGACUAAGAACCUAGUCCAGAGCUCCCUGGCGGACUCGCCGGGCUUCUGGACAAUAUGACCAAAGUCAUCAGCAUCUAGUGGCCGGACAUAUGUUCCCUGGAAGUUGUCUCGAAAGGCGUCUUCCAAGUCUUCCCAGCUACCAAUAGAAUUUUCUGGUAAACUGUUUAGCCAGUACCGGGCUAGCCCUUUAAGCUUGAGAGGUAUGUAUUUAAUGGCAUGAAGGUCGUCUCCGCGAGCCAUGUGGAUAUAUAUGGAGGAGGUAAUCCUCAAUCCAUACCGCGGGAUCUGUUGUUCCAUCGUAUGAUUCGAUAUUAAUGGGUUUAAACCCGUCUGGAAAUUCAUGCUCCAUUACCUCGUCGGUGAAGCAAAGAGGGUGUGCGGCUCCUCUAUGUUGAGCCACACUAUGAAGCACCUCCGGCGGACUCUGUUUACGGAGUUCGGAUCGAGCGUGGUCGGCUCUGUUGUGUCCGAAUAGGUGACCAUCAUUACGGUCGGGGCAUGUCCCCGCGAUCUGUGUAUUGACUUCGUGUGUCAUGUUCUACCCUCCAGGUCCUUGGAUGUCGCGAGUGUUCCCCCGAGCUGUGUUGUUCUUGUUUUGAUGGCCGGAUGGGUUGGUAUGAUGCUCUGCUUGGGCUACUGCUUUGUCCGGACCGAACUGUGGUCGGCCUACAUCCUUAUUCGAUGGUGGUGUGGGCUUCAACGCCCUGCCAUCGUAUUGAGGGGGCCACCUGCUGUUGGGGUGGCUCUUGUCUGGGCCAAUAAGGCCGUAUUGUUCGGCGGCCAAGACCUCGGUCCAUCUAUCAUUGAGCAAAUCUUGGCUCGCUUUAAGCUGCAGCUGCUUCUUUCUUAGGCUCCUUGCAGUGGCUAUGAGCUGGCGUUUAAAGUGCUCCUGCUCGAGAGGUUCCUUAGGCACGAUAAAAUCCUUGUUGUCGAGGAUCUCCUCUUCCUCGGAGAGUGGGAGAUAAUUGCUAUCCUCUGAGUCUCCAUAUGUUACCUGUUCAUCAGGGUUGUCUUGCCCGCCUUCCUGUUCCUCCUGUUCGGAUCCUACCUCAACAGGGUCUUCAUCGUCCGGAGUGUUGUCUUCUCCGGUGCAAGUGUUAUUUUCUCUUGAGCGUCGUGACUUGGAGCGGCGCAAGGCGCGCCGGUGUUCGGACUAUGCACCAGGAGGCUUAUCCUCAAUUGGAUCCUCCUUGUCAUCGUCGAAAGCAUCGUUGGGUGUGUCUAUCAUACACACGUCAUACCAUGAAGUGGUCAUCCCGCGUCUAGCGGGUAGUGAGUUCUGGCCUUGCCCCUCAUCGUCGUCCGUACCGUCGAUGUCUUCAGGGCCGAGGUCAAGCGUGUUGGUUGGGUCUUCGACAGUGGCUAUGAAGUGGGUGGUGGGUGGGAAGCAAAAUUCUCCAUCAUCAGCCGUAAGUUCGAGCCGAACAUAGUUCAGUGGCGAGUCGCCUACCAGAGAUAGGUUUUUUAGUGAGUUUAGUACAUCGCCCAUGGGCGAGUGUUGGAAGACGUCUGCGGCGCUGAACUUGAAGAUCGAUAACCGAUCGAGUUCGGCAUCUGCAGACUCGCAAGGUUCGGAACCUGUCGCCGGGGACGAAUCCGGGGUUCCGCUGAUGCGGAUAUCAUACGCAGUAGAAUCUGUGUGCGGCUCGAACGCCGCCGAAUCGGUAGCCCUCGUGAUGGGGUUGAGCUUCCCAUCCCGGGACGACUUGAUCUGCUCCGGAUCUAAGGCCAGAGUUGCUGUAGGAGCUAUCUCCUCGAUGCGGCCCAAUGACAGGUUUAAGCCAUGUCCAUCGAGGCGGCGGGAGCGAUUGCCGCGGUCUUGAAUCCGUCGAAGAUCAAGUCUCCACGGACGUCCCCAACGUAGUUCAAGCUUCCGAAUCUGACCUGAUGGCCAGGGGCGUAGCUGUCGAUCUGCUCCAGAUGGCCAAGCGAGUUGGCCCGCAGUACGAUGCCACCGAACACGAAGAUCUGUCCGGGGAAAAAGGUUUCUCCCUGGACAACGUCACCAUCGACGAUUGAAGGGGCCAUCGAACCUUUUGUCGACGGCACAGUGGAACUCUCAAUGAAAGCACCAAUGUCGGUGUCAAAACCGGCGGAUCUCGGGUAGGGGGUCCCGAACUGUGCUUCUAGGAUCGAUGGUAACAGGAGACGGGGGACACGAUGUUUACCCAGGUUCCGGCCCUCUCUAUGGAGGUAAUACCCUACUUCCUGCUCUAUUGAUCUUGAUGAAUAUGAGUGUUACAAGAGUUGAUCUACCACGAGAUCGUAAUGGCUAAACCCUAGAAGUCUAGCCUAUGUGUAUAUGGUAAUGAAUGUCCCCUAUCCGGACUAUGCUCUCCGGUUUAUAUAGACACCGGAGAGAUCUAGAGUUACAUGGAGUCGGUUACAUAAGAAGGAAUCUUCACAGCUGGUCGCCUAGCUUGCCUUCCACGCCAAGGAAAGUCCAAUCCGGACACGGGUGUAGUCUUCGGCCUUCGUAUCUUCACAGCCCAUCAGUCCGGCCCAAUGAAUAACAGGCCGGACGCCCGAGGACCCCUUAGUCCAGGACUCCCUCACUCGGAGACCUUCUUGUGGGGACCAUCUACGAGAGGAAGUAAAGAGGGAGAUCAGAAGAGGAUACAUGAGAGGUUAGGGUGGGGAGGAGGCUGCGCCGGCGAGCGGCCACGGCUCAAGGCGGUCCGGCCGACGAGGAGGACGAACAAGGGAGAGGAAGAUGCAGAUCGGCAAACUGUGGGUUGGGCUUAUGACGUUGGGUUCUCACAAAACUAUAGCCCAUUUCGAAUUUGGUGCCCGUGACGACACACACACAACGCUUAUGUUGGGCCUAAUCACUCACUUCCAGCCCCCAACUCUGAUUUCCCCCUCAAAGAAAAACAAAACUUCAACCCUUCUCACUCCCCAUGAUCACAACAACAACAACAGAAAUAUCUAUAUGCAAGAUCAGGAAAUAUCUAUAAGGGGCAUUCAGAACACAUGUGACCUAAUCGCUAUAACAGCUUGAUAUUAUGGUGGGAUAGACAUAAACUGGUUCACGAAGGAAAGUUUCAUGAUGCAAACCAAAAUUCAAGGGGAGCACGUGCUAUAAUGGCAAACUAUGUUAAUGCCUACUCCCCUAAAGCAACUAGUAAAACAGGGGGAUGGAGUAUCCCUUCUAGGGUUUUUGUGAAGCUGAAUAUUGAUGUAUCUUUUCAUCAUGGUCUGCUUCAGGGUACAUCGGGGGUUAUUCUUAGACAUUACAAAGGCAGGCUCAUUGUCGGUGGAAACUGGAGGAUAGAUUGUCGUGCGGAUGUAUUAGCAGCAGAAGUUGUGGUGCUAAAGUUUGGGUUAUUCCUUGCACAGAAGGCGGAUUGCAAUCGUCUUGUUGUUAACUCGUACAGUACAUAAGUGAUUGACACAAUAAAGAAUGGAUGACACUCGACCGGAGCGGCGGUUGUAGUUUUCUAUGAUUGUUAAUUUUUGGGCUUGUGAUUUUUCUUUUAUUAGAUUUGAACUUUGUAAUAGGGAAGUAAAUAAGAUGGCAAAUGAAAUUGCUAGGCCAGCGAAAUUUUUUGUCACUAGUGAUUGGUUUGAGGAGUGAAUGAGAUUGUGCCUUUUUUAUUGACAAUGUAACAGUUGUUUCUAAUAAAUAAAGUUGAAGUUUUAUUGAAAAGGACAACAACAAGAAAAAAUAUCCUCAUCUUGUCCCAAGGGAUCUGAAACCCCAGUAUCCUUGCAUCUUUCUUUUGCAUGGCAUGUACAUAAGAUUUUCUUUGUUAGUAGCAUGUGUUGUUGGCGGUGGCGGCAUGAUGUUAGAGGUGACAUGUGUGGACGGAUGAUUGUUUCGACUCCAUUUAUUCUUAGGGCCUGUACAAUGCUAGGUGUUCAGCGAAGUGCUUAGAAAAAUAAACUGAGUUUUUAAAGCAUUUUUUAAGCACCGAUGUCUAUUUCUAAUGAUGAGAGACACCUAAUUAGACGUUUACCCUAUACAAAUAAACGUCGAUGCUUUAAGAAAUACUGAUUUAUUUAUCUAACAACCUUUCUUACGCACCUUACAUGGUAAGGUUCGAGAGCUAGUGGCGUCUUGGUUUCUCUUGUUUCUGUCACAUCAAUAUCAUGCUUUGGAUAUAUUCCAGUGCCCUUUUAUUGAUCACUGCCUAUGGCCAUUGAAAUGAGAUCUGGGACUCGGCCAGCUGCAAGAUACCUCUAGAAAGCGAAUUUCCUCUGACGCACAUAUGAAAUAUGACAGUACAAAAUAGAACAAACACUAAGAUUAGACAGAUGAUUGGAUGAUGUAACUAACUUAGACAUCGCUGCACCCAGGACGGACUUUCUUCUCAGACAUCAGAGAGAAACUGAGUGUCCAUGCUGUCAGAGACGCUGGCCAUUGGGCGUUGUCAGUGACUUUAGUCUCGCCUCGGAUAUGGGAGGGGCUAGAACCACCUUAUAAGGAGGAGUGCCACACUCCCUUCAGGCUAGUCUUUUGCGAUGUGGUGGACUCUUUGCUUAUAGUGGUGUGUCUGAUGCACACCGGAAACGUCCGAACAUAUGCCGAAGGUUGGGAGCCGGGCCUGGGACGCUAACAAUUGGUAUCAUAGCUGGGCCCCAGUCUGCCCUGUUUUAGGGGGAUGAGGUGUCAGAGACGCUGGCCAUUGGGCGUUGCCAGUGACUUUAGUCCCACCUCGAAUAUGGGAGGGGGCUAGGACCACCUUAUAAGGAGGAGUGCCACACUUCCUUCAGGCUAGUCUUUUGGGAUGUGAUGGACUCUUUGCUUAUAGUGGUGUGUCCGAUGCGCACCGAAAAUGUUCGAACAUAUGCCAGAGGUUGGGAGCUGGGCCUGGAACGCUAACACAUGCCAACUGCUUCUCCUCCACUCCACCUGCAUAGCACGCAUAGGAGGAAAUUUGAUGAUUAUUUGAAGUGAUAUCCACAUAAAGCACAGAGUUACUCAGCUAGCAAAGCACCUAUGUACAUCACUGUAUGGCUACCCAACUGAAAAUUCUGCUUCCUGACCCUCCUGAUUCAUGCGGGUGGCAUGGAGAUGGGUACGCCUCUCGAAUCCAUGUGAAUCGAAUCGUUGGAACAGAUGGACGGACAGGGUCGAUACCUUGUGUAGAUGGGGAGGGGAGGCCGGAGUGGCUGCCGUCGACCGACGUACGGCCCGCAGCCGACGGAGGAGCUUCAAAAGUGACCUUUUUGUCGAGCGAUGGCGGUGGUGGUGGGGUGCCGGAUGCGGAGGGUGGUGGGAAGCCGGAUGCGGAGGGUGGAAGGAAGGCUGACGCCUCCGUCGCCGCGGACGUACGAGGAGCGGCCGCGAGCGGUGGGGUCCGGGAGAGGCUGCGCCGGCGAGCGGUCCGGCCGGCGAGGAGGACGGGGAAGGGGAGACGAAGACGACGCAGAUCGGCGGAGUGUGGGCUGGGCUUGUGACGUUGGGGCCUCCGAAAACUAUAUCCCAGUUCGAAUUUGGUGCCCUAACACACAACUCUUACGUUGGGCCUAAUCACUCCCUCCUGGCUCCAUCUAUCAUUCCCCAAAAAAAAUCCUUCACACAUAGAUGGAACUGAUGAUUCUCAAAAGAAAAAGAGAUGGAACUGAUUGUGUCAUGUCUUAAAAAAAAGAUCGAACUGAUUGUCUAAAAAAAACAUAGAUGGAACUGAUGAUUUAUCUCCGAAAAAAAGAUGGAACUGAUGAUGACGUGUCUAGAGUUAGGACCGGAUAUAUGUUAGUAGGAGUAGCUUGUAAGAAAUUACCAUCCUUUACAUAUAACGGGAAUUCGAUGAGUCAUGUCAUGCUCUAGAGGCGUCAGUUCAUCUUAUCAUCUUAGAGGAAACUACAAAGUUAUUUUUAUGAAAAGCAACCAACUCUAGAAGAACCCUCCACACGCAAGGCUUUAAUAAUCGAGCAUAUCUUAACAGCCCACACACGAUUGCAAACUUAGUCCUACACAAGCUUUGCCUUUCUUCUUUACGGCUGACAGCCUAUACAAGGUUUCAAACUCGGUUGCAAAAGUGAUACUAUCCUGAUAAGUGUGUGACAUGUAAAGUGAAUAAGGUGAGUCAUAUAUAGCAAACAUCGGGGUUUCUGUACUUUGUGUGUGAUCAUAUGCACAAUUAAAAAGCAACUUUGAUGAUCAAUCCAAAAGUACGCGUGUAGCUAGUGCAACCUAACGCAUUGUACCAAAAAUCAUUUCAGAUGCAUCCAAACGGAAUAAUUAAAGCUAAUGCAAAGAAGAAAAGAGGUGGUGCCCAGGCUACUAUAAAUAGGCAUGAAGUAUAAAGAUCAUCACAAGCACAAGCAUCAAAACCAAGCAACACUAGUUAACACUAAUCCACCAUGAAGACCUUCCUCAUCUUUGCCCUCCUCGCCGUUGCGGCAACAAGUGCCAUUGCACAAAUGGAGAAUAGCCACAUCCCUGGUUUGGAGAAACCAUCGCAGCAACAACCAUUACCACUGCAACAAACAUUAUCGCACCAACAACAACAACAACCUGUCCAACAACAACCACAACCAUUUCCACAACAGCAACCAUGUUCACAGCAACAACAACCACCAUUAUCGCAGCAACAACAACCACCAUUUUCACAACAACAACCACCAUUUUCGCAGCAACAACAACCAUCAUUUUCGCAGCAACAACAACCACCAUUUUCACAGCAACAACCACCAUUUUCGCAGCAACAACAACCAGUUCUACCGCAACAACCAUCAUUUUCGCAGCAACAACUACCACCAUUUUCACAGCAACAACCACCGUUUUCGCAACAACAACAACCAGUACUACCGCAACAACCACCAUUUUCGCAACAACAACAACCAAUUCUACCGCAACAACCACCAUUUUCGCAACAACAACAACAACCAGUUCUACCGCAACAACAAAUACUAUUUGUUCAUCCAUCUAUCUUGCAGCAGCUAAACCCAUGCAAGGUAUUCCUCCAGCAGCAAUGCAGCCCUGUGGCAAUGCCACAAAGUCUUGCUAGGUCGCAAAUGUUGCAGCAGAGCAGUUGCCAUGUGAUGCAACAACAAUGUUGCCAGCAGUUGCUGCAAAUCCCCCAGCAAUCCCGCUAUGAGGCAAUCCGUGCUAUCAUCUACUCCAUCAUCCUGCAAGAACAACAACAGGUUCAGGGUUCCAUCCAAACUCAGCAGCAGCAACCCCAAGAGUUGGGCCAAUGUGUUUCCCAACCCCAACAGCAGUCGCAGCAGCAACUCGGGCAACAACCUCAACAACAACAAUUGGCACAGGGUACCUUUUUGCAGCCACACCAGAUAGCUCAGCUUGAGGUGAUGACUUCCAUUGCGCUCCGUACCCUACCAACGAUGUGCCGUGUCAAUGUGCCGUUGUAUAGAACCACCACUAGUGUGCCAUUCGGCGUUGGCGCCGGAGUUGGUGCCUACUGAUAAGGAAAGGUCUCUAGUAAUAUAUAGUUGGAUCACCGUUGUUUAGUCGAUGGAUAUGUCGAUGCAGCGGUGACAAAUAAAGUGUCACACAACGUCGUGUGUGACCCGCCCAAACUAGUUGUUUAAAUUCUGAAAUAAAAUACAAAUAAAGUUGUAUCAAGACAAUGUUCAUAUUGGCAUUGUGUGGAUGUCCAUAUGAUUGCCAUGCUUGCAAGUUCAUAAGUUUGUCUUUCCUGGUCACAAGCGCAACCUGGUGCCUUAAUUAAUUAUGCAUGUAUUGGAAUAAUUACUAUUUAAAUAUAAUAGUGUUACUGUAAAAUUUGGGUUGAACUCUUUAUCGGUUGGAGAUUUGAGAUCUUGUUUUUUAUUGGUUUGUAUCUAGUUCCAACUACUACCAUUGUCUAUAGUGACAAUCACAACCAGUUUUAUCGUUAAUCAUGUUUGCUUUCU
rnacentral:lncRNA from 1 species